UUUUUUUUUUUUUUGUAAUAAUAAUCGGACUUGACACAAAAAGCGACACGACCAGUUUUGCAAGAUAAAAUUUACUAGAAAGCUUACGAACAAACUCAACGGGAUAUACUUGAUGUCGUCGACUAGCUCUGAAUACCAACUGAUGUGCGACGGAUCUAGGCGAACACCAAGUUGAAUUGAAUCGCGGAACUUUGACCCUUCUAGAAUUACAAGUCACGAACUAAGGAUGCUCCUUAACCCAAGACUAGCAAAUUUAGUGAACCAAAAGUAUAGAUAGAAGAACGCCACAAUCAAGGAGACUAUUUGAUUGAUAAGUUCGAUGAACAACUUGAGAUUAAUUCUCAAGUAUUCAAAGGAAAUUCUCUUGAGGCAAGAGAGAGUGAAUAAACUCACGAAUAUUUUAUAAAAAACCGAAUUGUCUUCCUAUGAAUGAAUACCUAGGCUAUAUAUAUAGUCUUACAAGACUCAAAACCCAAGAAUGUCCACUGGACGAUCUUGCCCUUCAUUAAGGGUGGAUUUGUCCAAGUUGUAUUAACUUAAUAUCUAGCAACUAACAAACAACUAAUAAUGGUAACUAAAAACCCUAAUUAACAAGCUAGUAAUCCGCGAACUAGUCUUCACUUGAUUCUUCCACCUGAAGAAAAGUGUAUAGAGUAGUUUCUCCAUUAUGUAAUCCUUCAAUGGUCCUCAAGUCAUCACCAACUCGUUCUUGAAUCAUGCAAACAAGAGCUUGAAGUGAUUCUUGAAGUCUUCUAGCACGCGCUCUUGUAAUCGGUCAGAAUCCGGCCGGAUUUCCAAAAAUUCUCAAGGCAAUCCGGCCGCUAAUCCGUCCAGAAAUACCCUUUCCCGCCAAAUUUUUUUCCUUCGCCAUUUGAAAUCCGAAUCGAUCCGAAAUCCGACCCGAUAUCAAUCCAACAUAUACACAUGGAAAUUCAACAUUUACAAGCCAAAAUAGCAUACAAAAGCUAUCCCAUAAGUUUAUACAUGUACGGUUUACAAAUCUCAACUCAACGAAUGGGUUGGAUUAAAAUGCGUUUAGGGUUUUGCCCAAAAGGAGCUAUUCAAAAUAUAUAUGUACAUAAGCUCAACUCGGCAAUCCCUAUUCAUCGCCUUUCCAAAAGUAUUCAAUUUCCUGUAAGGAAAACAAACGGAAUAGAGUGAGCUUACGCCCAGUGAGAUACUAUCACUCAAGCAACCAUGUUCAUAUAAGCAUAAAGCUUUUCAUUUCAAAUCAUCAAAAGUAAACCAAGAGUACACAUUAAUAGAGUUGAUAAAAGGAUACGGACGGCUCUUAAGAGCCCCUUUCCUCGCUUACAUUCUUGAUCGGACCUCAUUGACCCUCCGUCAAUGUUUAAGAGUAACCAACCGUAGGCUCCACUUUACUUUCAUUCCUUUCACCCAACAUACCCCUACCGGGCCCGAACUCCAAACAGUAGAAAUUUGGUAAUAUUCGAGUAUACCGGAAUCAAGAGUCUCACUACUACAAGAUUCCAUAUAACAGUCCCCGUGGCUCGUCAAUUUUCACGACCAAGCCCUCGCCGGCUCGAUUCAAUCGACUACCAAUGGGGUUGAGCUCAGUAGUAACAGUAAUGGCCGUUGGAUACUCGUCCAAACGACACCAAAUCCAGUAUAUCAGGUAUCAUUUAAAUACUACAGUAAAACAGUAGAUAGUCGUAUAUAGUACCAAAAGGGGUGAGGGCGAUCAAGUACACCCUCAAGGAAUCAAGUUCAAGGAAUCAAGUUCAAAUAUAGCAAAGCCACAUUGUAAACAAACAAGUGAGUAGUACACUCACCAGGCAAGCAAGUGAAAUUUCAUAAACUUUCGCCCAAAGAGCGUCUUCAAUCACCGUCACGCCCUAAAAUAUUCAAACAAGCACAAUAAGACUUGAUUACAAGUCAUAAACCAGUUCUGCAUACAACCAAAAUAGGGCUCCAUAAGAAUGUAUAAGCACUAAAGUAAACCAGGGAAAUCCGGAAAUGGAAAUAAACUUUAAACCCUAAAAAUAGUUUUUGACAUCAUUUUGCGGUUUUGGCACCAUUGGCACUACAAUUAUCGGAUGGAGGUGCAAGAUACACCGUUUUGAAGCUAAGAGAUAGGGAUACAAUGUUGAAGAAGGCCACUCAGUCCAGUUUCUAGUGCAACCAGGUCAAAAAUUCAAUAUACUAAACCAGAACCGCAAAAAUAGGUUAACAAACCGUAUUCUGGUUAACGAACCGUAAUUCAGGUUACCUAAGUCCAAAUCAAGUGAUUCCAAAGCCAUCGGAAAGCUAAGACACCAGGCUACAUUUCUUAAGGAGAUGUCAAGAACCAAAUCAGAAGUAUUCCCAACCAAAUUAAUCAAUUACAGAAGUAAUUAUCAAGUUCGGGUAGAAACAGGAUAGUAGGGGUAUUUCGGUCUUUUCACAAGCUACGCUACUCCGAUUGGCCUAAAAUUUUGUAGGCAUCUCUAAAAUAUCAUUCCCUACAGCUUUUAUGUUUUAACCCAGGGCUAAUUCGGCCUCUAACUAUGAUGAACAGUGCCGGACAGAAUGAGGGGAAAUGAAACCCUAGUUUCCACAAUUUCCUUCCAAAACAGAAAUUUUCUGCAAUUAACCACACUUUCCACCUUCUAGCUUCCUUCAAUAUCAUUUCCAAUCAUCAUCCAUGGCCACAACAUAUGAAUCAUAUGAAAAUGGAAAAAUCCCAAAUAAAUAUAAAACUUCACCAAUUUCAACCAAAAGUCACUAAACAACACCAAAAAUUAUCUCUUUAACUCACAUAAGGUACCAAUUGAACAUUAAUAGGAUCAAGGGAAGGUUCCUUGGUCACAUACCUUGUAAACCCAAGAUAAGACCCAAUUUAGCACCUUGCUGCUCCAAACCACUUCACAACCAAGUUUAAUACCACUAAACUAAGAGGUUUUAUGGAGUAAAUUGAAGUUUUAACGGUUGGAUCAAGAGAUUGAGCAAGAAAAUAGAAGGCAAAAGUUGAGGGAUUUUCUUUCUUUUCUCCUUAUGUUGCUCGGCCAAGAGGAAGACAAAUGAAGCUCAAAUUGGUCAAAAUUCAAGUUUAGUAAAGGUAAAAGAAAUUGAUCAAAGUCCACCCUCCAAUCAAAUCGUGCCACCUAGCACCUUUUAGGUUUAUCCAUAUCCUUUUGUCUCUCCAAUAUUAAUCCAUUUAGGCAACCCCUAAUUAUCUCCUAACACCUAGUAAUUAAAUCCCAGUAUCCCAAACUUAACCUAAUUGACCAAAUUUUACCGAACUUUCCACACUAACGGGUCCCACGUCCGAUAUACAUUCUUAUUUUCUAAAAAUCUAACCGAUACUAGAAAAAUCAUCUAAAAACUAUAUUUACUCAUAAAAAUUAUCGGAAAAAUUUUCCUAAUAAAGAAAAUGCAGAAAACAUGCCAUUAAAGAGAAUAUAAUCUAGAAAAUGAGAAAAUUACGGGUUCUCACAGCAAAGCAAUUUUUUGCACAUUAGAAUAUAAGCAUCUAACAAUCAUCUUUUGGCCAUUUUAAACAAAAUUGGUAAAAAUUCCCUUGCAUAAAGGACAUUGACUUGAAGAAGUUUACAAAUAAUUCCUCAUUGUUAAGACGAUAAAUGUAUUGAGGCCAAAUUUUGAUUUUAGGAGGCUCAUAGACUAAUGCCUCGCAAUGAUUUUCUUGAAACUACCAAAGGGUAGACAAUUCGAUCGAUUUUUGAAUAAACCAUCAAUUUCAUUGAAUCCAUUUUGUCCAUUCAUCCAAUUUUAGGACAAUCUCAUCAUUUUUGAAUAAAUCAUUAACUCCAUUUCAUUCAUUUGGUCAAAUUACCCAUUUUUAGGGCAAUCAAGUCGAUUUUGAAGAGAUCAUCAAUUUCAUUCAAUUCAGUUGACCAGUCUACCUAUUUUUAGGGUAAUUCAGUCGAUUUUGAAUAAAUCAUUAGUUUUCAUUCGAUCCAUUUGACCUACUUAUUCCCCUUUAGAGUUUAAGUCUAAGGUUCACUGAAUAAAUUAAUCGAGACAUUGCAAUCUCUUUUACACAUCAUUUUAUGUGUUGAUCAAAGUAAGCAAUCCAUUCGGACUUUGUCCUCAUUUUUAGGACAAAUAUCUCUUCUCACUCCAAUUGACCAAAUUUUUCAAGUCAUUUUUCACUCAAUUAGCUGAUCGGAUUCAUCAGGUAUUGUAUGGUGCCUACCCUAGAGGAUUGCAUUUUCAUGCUAGGCCUACCCUUGGCAUAAAAGGGCUCCCCCCAUAGGACAUGCAUACCGAUUUUGUAGUCUUGCCUACUAACUCGGGAUAUUUUUCUUUUGCUUUUCCCCUCCCUGCAUUCAUAAAAAUGCUUUAAUAAGGUGAAAAUAAUUUUUUUCUAUAUCUGAUAAAAUUUGAAAAUUACAAGUAUUAUUUGAUUCUUGGGCAGGUCUUGCAAUGAAAACAUGAAGAAUCUAUCUGGAAGCGUUAGGCUAAAGCCUCUGAGAGACUUCAUAAUUGUUUUUCAAAGGGAAAUUCUGUUUAUUUGAUUUGUUAAUGCAUUUUUGUUCCAAAAGAAAGGGAGAUAAAAAAUGUAUAUGUGGGAUUUUUUAGAAGUUUUCUCUUCUCAUUUGUAUUAUAAUUGAACAAGAAAUUUUGUUUUAAACUUUUUCAGCAAUAAAGUUUUGGACAAUUAUUGUUUUGUGUAUAUUCAUAUACAUUUGAUUUUGUAUUUUGCUCAUUAGAGAUUUCAUGAUGAAUUUUAAGAAAUAAAACUAAAUUGAGAUUUCCUCAACCUCCAGCCUGAGAAUUCACAAGUGUAUGCUCUCUAAAAUCCUUACGUACACUUUGGUGAUCCGAACUAUACAAUAAGAGUGCUCAGAAAAGAAAAGGUGAGCGGUCAUUCAAAAAACCCAAUGAGAUAUCUUUUCUCCUUUCACUUAACCCCAAAAAUAAAUUACAAAUUGGGGCAAUUUUUGCUUGAAAAAUGUCCACUGUGUCUAAAUAGAUUCAACUCACAUCUCAGUGAAAGUAAAAAUGUGCAUUAUUCUUGUUUGUUUUGAAAAUUUGGGAUGAUACUCCAAGCAUUCGUUUCUCUAUCCAUACAGCUUUUAUCAUUUGUUCUCCCAUUUGAGCCUUUAAAAGAAUAAUUUCGUUUCAAAUAAGAACCUUAAUUAUCACUACCCUACAUUGAAAAAUUCUUAGAUAUCAAAAAGGGAGUGGAUUUUCAAUGACUAUUUCGUUACUUUGGUUGUCAUGAGGUGUAAGAAUGAUACUUUGAUCGUCGUUUCUACAACUUAAACACCAUUUAUCCCUUGCGUCCUCAUUUGAGCUAAAAUGGGUGGUUCUUUCCAAAAGCACUUAUAAUCGCACCCCACAUUAGGGAAGGAGAUUGGAGAAUUUUGCAGGGAAAGAGAGAAAAGAGAAAAACAAAGAUGCUAAAAUUAAAAAGAAAAGAGAGAAUUGCAAAUUGGGGAAAUUAGAUUCUAUUUGGGCUUCCAUUUUGGAAAGAAAAAAGAAAAAGGAAGAGUGUCCGGCAAAUCACCUGCGCUUCACAGAUAUGGACGAACAGGAGUGUUCCUCAAUCAAUUAAUUUAGAUGCAUGCAAAAAAAAUUUCGCAUUAAUGAAAAUUUCCUUUCAGAGUUAAUGUAAGGAACGGAAUAAAAGUCAGACCCUCUUCUUUUCCAAUCAAAUAUUCUAUCCCUAGUUAUCCCUUUUGAGCCUUUAGAAUAAAAUACUUCGUUUGGCAACCUCUGAGGAUCGCAAACCCCACACUAAGGCAAGUUUGAGUUGAAAAAGAAAGAAAAGUCCCAAGAGAGAAAAAAAGAAAAGAGAACCUCGGUUGAGCAUAAAUUGGGGCAAAUUUUUGGAAAAGUUCAAAAGAAUGGCAGAAGGCCGAAAAAGAGAACAAAAUGAAAGAGAAAAAGCCUCAAUUGAGAAUAAACUGGGGCAAGUUUUGAUUUAACCCUAGAAUAGGGUUGGUGCAAUAAUGCGAUCUCAGGUCAUUCAAACCGCUUUUGAAAUUCGCUUUCAAGCCUUAACCUUUCUAAGCACCCUACCAGACCCCAUUACAAAAACCGAAAGUCCUGACUUCUGUUCUUUGCAUUAUCUCUGUCAAGAAAUUUUCUAAAUGGCAAGUGAUGCUCAUAUACUGAUGCCAAGAAAUUUUUUUAGAUGUACUUCUGAAUUGAUUAGCUGUAAAUUUGACAGUGCUUGUCAUAUGAAAACCCGCAAGGAUGCCUAAAAAAAAAGAAGAAGAAGAAGAAAAGAGAGGAAAAAGCGAGCGAAAUAAAUGCAAAUGAAAUACAAAAGAAUCGAUGGUGAAGUGCCUGUUGAGUGGUGAUAAAGUCAAACAAAGUUCAGGAUCUUGGAGUCCAAAUUGGGGCAAUUUUUUGAAAAUGCGAUCUUCAGUGCAAUGUCCUUAAAAAUCUUAUCUCUUUAACUAUCGUUUUCAAGCCACAUUACAAGCUCAUAAAGUCCAUCGUUGACUUAUACCUCAUGACAACUCGAAGUAAGGAUUAUGCUUCUGAGGAAUCUCUCAAUCAUUUGUGAUCAUAAGACUAUAACAUGUUUCCAUAUGUUUAGUUAUUGUUUCUACCCAUAUGUUACAAGCUUAUAAAACUUAUAUGUUGACCAAGUUUUCUUAAGAAAUAAGGGUGAUAAACUCUUUACUUUCACUAAGAUGUUAUAUUGAAGGGAUUACAUACAAUUUGGGCACAAGAACAAGACAAAUCUUGACUUCUUAUUUUCAUUAGCCACCUCAAAAUCAGAAAUAAGAUCACUUGAUUGGUCCUGAAAGACGAGCUAACAAGAAGUGGUGACCCAUUACCCUAAGCAUCAAUGCUAAAGUGAGGAAGGAAUCACUUGUAAUUUGGUAUUAUUCUGAGAAAUUCAUCAUGAAAUUUUCUGUUAGGAAGCAUGGUUUCUUACUUUGUUCAAAUAAAUGGAGAGUCAUCCAAACAAAUUUUUGCAAUUAAAUGGUCCCAUAUUGGGGCAAAUUUUCAUUUGAGAGAUUUUGCAAAAUGAGCCCACACUGGGGCAGAUUCUUUUAUAAUACAUUUGAAAAUUUCGAAUCAAUCAUGCUGCUCUUUUCAUGAGUAGUAGUUGCAUUAAUUUUUAACAUAAGAAAUUUAAAUGCAUAUUGUACUUUGGUGAUCCCCCCGUGCAGGUAUUCAUGGCUGAACAUAAUGAAGAAGCAUCCAGUGAUGUGAAAGGCCGAUACUGGAAAAAGAGAAACAAGAAGAAAGAAGAAAAAGGCCCGACACUGGGGCAAUUUUUUUUUUUUUGAAAAGAUUCUCUCGAAAAGCUCAAAAAAAUGAAAAACAAAAACAAAAAAAAGAAGCAAAAAAAAUUAAUUAAAAUCAGAAAAUUCAAAAAUCGAAUUCAUUUCUUGUUUUUUGAAAAAUCAAAUUUAGUUUCUGUUUGGCGAGUCUCAGCAUCCGCCGCGCACCCUUCUACCUCAUUUCUUGACAACCACAGUUAGCAUCGAGCCUAUCUCACUAACGUGUGCGUUUUUAUUCUACCACCGUUAGCAUCGAGUUUAUCUCACUAACGUGUGUGUUGUUUUUAGUCUAUCUCCGUUAGCAUUGGGUUCAUCCCACUAACGUGCCUUUCUAUUUCCGAUUAUCAAGGCAGACUCGGGUGUUGAUCCCACUGACCAAUUGACCAAAUGAUGGCAAGAUCGGGUAUUGAUCCCACUGACCAAUUAACCAAUUGAAUGGCAGGCUCGGGUAUGGAUCCCACUGACCAAUGGAAUGACAGUUCGGAUAUUAUCCACUGGCCGAUGCUAUGGCAGGCUCGGGUUGUUAUCCCACUGAUCAAUAGUACGGUUGGUUCAGAUAUUAUCUCGCUGACCAAUGGAUGGCAGGGUCGGGUGUUGAUCCCACUGACCAAUGGAUGGCAGGCUCGGGUGUUGAUCCCACUGACCAAUUGAAGGCGGUUCGGAGAUUAUCUACCGACCAAUGGUACGUUGGGAUCGGGUUUUAUCCCACUGAUCAUUCACAUCAUGUUGGGCUUGAAUUUUGCGCUACCAACAUCACAAUUGGACUUCGAUUUUAUGCCACCAAUGUCGGCAGGCUUGGGCUGUGUCCCACUGACCGUUUUAUCACACCAAAUUUGGAAUGUUGGUAGGCUUGGGUAGUAUCCCACUAACCGUUUUGUCAUGUUGGAUUUCAAAUUUCGACAGGUUCGGGUAUUUAUCCCACUGGCCGAUGUCACGGCAGGUCUGGGUGUUAUCCCGCUAGCCAUUUUCAUGUUCAAGGUAGAAUAAAUACAGGUGAGUAUUUGGUGUCUACGUCUUUGUUUCGAGUUUCUUUGAAACUCAGACAAAGAUGAUGGGCAAACUGUAGACACCAAAAUUUCAUCAUUUUUUAUUCAUACUUUUGUUUAUUUUAUUUAUUUUUAAUUUAUUUUGUUUCAUUUUAUGUUUCUUGAGGAAAAUCAUUUUAGAAAAUCGGGAAAAGAAAAUUAGAGAAAAAGAAAAGAAAAAUCAAAUCAGUGUAAGAAAAAAAAUAUAUAUAUAUAUAUAUAUUCUGCGCCAUUUUCUUCUUCACUCGUGUGGAAGCCAGGAGAAAGCUCAAAAUGGCAGCGGUCAUUUGCCCAUUUUUUAAUCCUUUUGCAUUUUUUUUCUUUUCUUUUUCCAAUACAGGCGACCUCACCCCAGCAAAGAUGAUUCCAGAAGAAAGAAUGAUCUAAGGGCUCCAAAAUCUUUAGUAAAAAUCGAACUAUCAUCCCAACCUUAGGUAGAAGGGUUUGAAAGAUUCUGCUCCAUAUAAAAGGAAGAUACGAGAGAGGGAAUAAGAGGGCGGCGGAGUAUAGAGAAAAGGGAAGGAACCUGGACAGGAAAUCUAGGGAGAGAGCUUAGGAGACUGAGGGAAAAACUAAGAAAAAGGCAGAGGAAAUCAGAAGGGCGGCUAGAGUUUUGGGAGAUAGUUUUUGGACAACUGAGAGUGAAGGUGCUAGGGCUGGAAAAAACAACAGAGAAAAAAAAAAGAUCAAGGAGAGAAGGGAUGACGGCUAGGGAGAGAAGGAGAGUUCGGGUAAGAGAGGAUAAGGAGAGGUGACGGCUGAGAAAGGGCUGAGGGAAUAAGGAGAAAAUGAAAGUGACGGCUGGAAAUCUGGUGAAGGUUGAGGCAGGGUAGAGUAGCGGAGAAAGUGAGGAGCUUUCGGUAAAGGAAAAAGCAAGAAACUGGAAAAAGGGAGCCGAGGGAGAAUCUGGAAAACAAAAGAAAGCAAGAGGGAUUGAGAAAGCUAGGCUUCGGGUAUAGAAAGGGAGAGCUUCCAAGCUGAAGAAAGUAGCUACGGGCUAGGUUGGGAAAAGGGCGCUUCGACUAGAAACCAGAAAAGAAAAGGAGGGAUCUUCGACUAGCGGCAUCAGCGCUGGAAGCCUCUGCAAUUCAGUUCGUGGAUUUGGUUUUCAGAAACGUUCGAUUUCUCGGGUCUCUUUUGUUCACUCAGCAGUCUAAGCGCUCUCAGGUAAUCACGGGCUUUUCUCAAUCUUGGUUUGACACAAUUUUUAUGAGAGACUUGAACCCUUUUAUGCAUGAUUUUCUUCCUUUCUUUGUCGAUGCUUGAGGACGAUGACUGCAAAUCAUCCUUUUCUUUCUUUUGUCGCCGAAGUUGUGACCUAUUUUUCGUUCUUGUUUUUGUUUGUCGCUUGACUGGGGAUGCCAUGAACUUGUUUGCUAUCAAAGUUGUGUUUAGAAUCUUCUUGUUGCAAACUUAGGAACCAAAAAGCUGUUUGCUUUCGUGCUUUCUUUCCCUUGUGAAACUGAAUGAGUGCGGUCCGUGAGUUGCAAGUGUCGUUUUUAGUAUCUUGUUUUGUUCAUAUGAUUUGGGUCUUAGUCUGUUUUCUUGAAGCUUUAGGUUUGAAGUCGGCAGAUGUUCAUACGCCUUUGUACUGCCGAACUUCAGUUGGGAUUGGAUGAUUCCGUUCCAUGGCUUUGCUGCAUUUCAUGUUUAGGAGCCUUGCUGAAUCUUCCCUCUCCCCUUCAUCCCAGGUUUUUGUGUUGGAAUAUGUUAGGAUUUGUAUUGAGUCAUUUGUAGGUUAUUACUUUGAAGUUUAGAAAAGCCAAGAGUCAUCCUCGAUCAUAUUACAGCUUAGGUUGCUGAAGUUUGCUUCUGUUUGUUUAACUCUUUGUAUUUGUUGCUAUUCCUGGGUAGCAUUGGUCCUUCCUCUUAUUUUGGGUGUAGCAUGGUGUAAUGGGUGCAUAAUGGACAUGAUGUCCUUAGCAAUAGAAGAUUCUCUUCCACCAGAAAUUAGCAAGGAAAUUGUGGUUUUGAUCUUCCUCAUUUUUAUCUUUCGUACUCUAUUAUGCUCGAACUAAGUGAAAACUGCAAUGUUUUGAUUUGUGAUUUGGAUUCAUUUACCCAUCUCAUUGGAAUGGCUUGAUUGUAUAUAAGUUCCUUUGCUCAUGACAAAAAUGAAAGGUGUCAAUUUUGUCACUUGAAUAAGAAACCGAAAAAGCUGCAGAAGUUCUUGUUUUCUUCAAAAGUCAACAUGUUUUUUCCAAAUCAUAUCGUUCUAUUUUUGUUGUUCGAAAGCUGAUUAGAUAUUUCCCCUACCUUUGUUUCAAGUCCCCGCACUUUGUGUUUGAAUGAGUUGGAUUUGUGCUUGAGUCAUUUCCGCGUGAACGUUGUUUCGGCUAAAUGAAGGCAAGUUGCAGAAGCAACAUUGACUGGAAAUUGCAGAAAUCUAAGCUUCUUCAUAAGCUUUGCAUGAAAGUUUUUCUAGAAUUUGCAUAGCCUCAUUCUAAGUUUGUUGGCUUGUUGAGUCUUGUGGUUGUUUCUGGGUUAAUGUCGAGUCUUUGAUUGGUUGGCUAAGGUGCUAGUUGCAUUAGGAUUGCAUUUGAGAAGCCCAGCAUGUUGCAGAUGGAAGGAACCAGUAAAAACAAAGAGAGCUUCGUUGCAUGCAUGCAAAAUAGCUUGCAAAAUUGUAUUUUAACCCCCUAAGCUUCCCUUUAUCUUAAUAUGGCCCAAAUAAUUGAAAAAUUAAUCGAAUUGAUCCCUCAAACUUCUUUAAUUCUUUCAAUUGGGUCCUUAUUUGUGUCAAUUUGAUGAAUAUGGGUUGUUUGGUUUAUUUGAAUGCUUUGAAUGAUUCAAUUUUAUGUUUGUUUCCAUUUUAUGUGAUUAUUUGUUAAUUAAAGUGAUGCCUUGACCUUUUCUUUAUUUUUGGAGGGUAAAUAUGUAAUUUCACUUCAUUAGGGCCCCAACUCAAGAGAGGUACACCUUAUCCCUUAUUUUGACUUAUUUGAUCCUAUGUGCACUUAUGUGAAAUUAUGUGUGAAAUUGCAUGCUUCUUUUUCUUUUUGAAUAUUCUCAUUAUAUUUGUUCAUUUAGUUACUUUAUUUGUUUUAAUUUUGUAUAUUUAUUUUAAUUUAAUUUGUAAUUGUUUGGGAGGUUAAUUAAAUGUCACAAUUGUAAUAGUUAGGUUAUUAUAUCAUUUUAUUCCUUCCUUCCCUUUAGAUUGUAGUAGGGUUCCCCAAAUGUAAUAGUUAGGGUUUUAUUUGCUUUAUUUGCCUUGUGUGUUUUUGCAUGCCUAUGUGUUAUGUGUUACUCGCUUUCCUAGGAUCUUGCAUCUAGACAUCAUGCUUAUGUGUUAUGUGAGGACCCGUAAAUUUUUCUAAUUUUAUAUUGUUUAUUUUAUUUCCUCGCUUGCAUUUCUCUUCAUUAUCCCCCACUAUUUUGAUUUUUCCAGAACUUUUAUAAGUGAAAAGAGUUUUAAAAUCAUUUUCCUAGUGUAAGUUAAUUCAUGGGAAAUUCGGUGUGAAUAUUGGACGUGGGACCCGCUAGUAUGGAAAGUUCGGAAAAAUUCGGCCAGUUAGGUUAAGUUUUGGAUACCGAAUUUUCUUUAGCAGGUAUUAAGAGAUAACUAGAGGUUACUAAAUGGAUUAGUGUGAGAGGGACAAAAGGAUAGCCAUGUAUUAAUGGUGGUGACAAGUGUCACUUGUUGAUUAAUUCUUACAUUUUGACCACUAUUCACUACUUUACCAAAUAAAUCAAAAAUUGACCCAAAAAUCACUCAAAAUUCCAAGCUUUUGGCCAGCCAUCUCCAAGGAAAAACAAAGGAAAACUCUUCAAUUUCUUCCUUCUAUUUCUUGCUCAAUCUCACAAAUCAACUGUUAGAAUCUUGAUUUACUCCAUAAAAACCUCUCUCUUAGUGGGAUUAAGGUGAGUGGUGGAGUGGUUUGGAAGAUUAAGGUGCUAAGUUGUCUCCUUUCUUGGGUUAUUGAGGUGAGUAGCUAAGGGACCUCUUUUUCUUCUCAAUAAUGCUUAAUUAGUGACUUAUGUGAGAUGAAGUGAUGAUUUUAGGUGUUGUUUCAUGAUUUUUGGAUGAAAUUGGUGAAGUUUUAUAUUUAUUUAUGAUUUUUCUGUUCUCAUAUGAUUAAUGUUGUUGGACCAUGGAUGAUGGUUGGGAAUGGCUUAGAAUGAAGCCUUAGUGCGCAAAUUGUGGCUAAUUGCGGAAAAUUUCCGCUUUGAACCGAAAUUUCCAGAUUAGGGUUCCAUUUUUUUCCCCUUCUGCCUGGCACUGUUGGACCAAGUUAGAGGCUGAACUAGCCUUGGGUUAAAACAUGAAAGUUGUAGAGAAUGAUGUUUUAUAACAGCCUACAAAAUUUCAGCUCAAUCGGAGCAAUGUAACCUAUGAAAAGACCACAAUACCCCUGCUGCCCUGUUUCUAUCCGAACAUGCUAAUCAGCUUCUGUAAUGGGUUGUUUUGACCAGGAAUACUACUGAUUUGGUAGUCGAUGUCUUCUUAAGACUUAUAUUCUUGUAUCUUAGAUUUCAAAUGGCUUUGGAAUCACUUGAAUUGGAGUCGUAUAUGCCGAGAUAUGACUAAAUGAAUCAAGACUGCCACAGUAAACUUCGAAUUGGAAAAUUUGGGGUUGUUUUGGUAAAUUUGACCUAGAUACAUUGCAAACUGGACUGAGUGGCCUUCUUCAACAUUGUAGCCCUUUCUCUUAGCUUCGAAACGGUGUAAAUUACACCUCAAUCUGACAAGGAGAGCUUCAGUUGUGUUAAUUCCGCUGGGCAACAGCAAAUCUGCCUUUUGUUUCCAACCCAAACUUCGUUUCCACAUAUGUCCUAGUUUGAUUUUGCACUUAUACGUUCCAUAUGAUUUUACUCUAGUGAUAUGUGGAUUUGGUUUAUGACUCGUAUUCGAGCCUUAUGGUGGCUCUAAUUAAAGGUGUUUGAUAGCUUGUGAUUUGUGACAGCCCCACCUUCCCCUACGGCUCCCCUAAGGCAUACCAAAGGAGUUAGCGGACUGCCUGCCCAGCUCUCGCCAGGACUACUAAAACGGUCAAACCAUAACUCCAGUCGUUCGGGAAACUAUUAGCGCGCUUAGCCAACCCAACAAUCGUAAAAUGGAAAACAAAAGUCAAAACGUAGGGUGAAUAGUGACUGCCACGUCACCAUCCGCCAAGACCCAAUCGAAUACAGGUAAUCCAACAAUCACUGAAAAGAAUAUAUACAAGCCAAAUAGAAUACAUUGGACAAGAGUACACUCACUAUUACAAACCACAUUCGUAUGUUUACAAGCCAAGCCAAAAGGAAGUAUUAAAUCCAAGUACAAUUAAGGUUCCAACUAUUGAGGAGCUAUACAAAAUCUCUUGACUAGCUCUACUCAACUCAUUCUUCAAAAUCAAAAGUCCAAAAGAUAAUUCCCUGUAAGGAAAACAAAAUUAACGGAGUGAGUUUUCGCCCAAUGAGGUACUAUCACGUACAUAUACCAAGAGCACAUAAACACAAGAAAUAUUCAAUCCAAAUGCGCAUGUCAAGUAAGCAAUAGUAACCACACCCAAGUGUAAGGAAUAAAAGGAUACGGGUGGCUCUCAGGAGCCCUUUUCCGCUUUGCCAUACUUUAUCUCAUUCCAUUGACCCUCCGUCAAUGUAUAUCAGGUAAUCAUGACCGUAGACUCCUCUUUACUCCAAUUAUCCGUCCACCUCACUUUCCCCUUACCGGGCCCGAACACCAAACAGUACAGAAUUGGUAUUACUCGAGUAUACCGGAAUCAAGGGUCUCAUACCCAAAGAUUCCCAAAUACAGUCCCCAUGGCUUGUCAAAUGUCCCCGACCAAGUCCUUACUGGCUCAAGUCCAUUGACUUCCAAUGAGGUAGAGCUCAGAGUGAACAGUAAAGGUUCAGAGAUACAGUAAACAAUGGUAUCCAAUCGACACCAAAUCAAGUACAUUCAAGAGUAUUCAAGUGAUAUAAUAAACAGUCAAGAGGCCAGAGAGUACGAGAGUGGUAAAGUACACCCUCUGUAACGACCCCACCUCCCCCUAAGGCGUACCAGAGGGUUCGGGAAAACCGGUCAUGGUAUUGGCCAAACAAAAGUAUACAAGUUCAAAUAGAAACCUAGCCCUCGAGCGAAAAUUUGGGCAGCACGCCCUUUGUGUUUACCUAAUUUUCCAGCCAUUUUGGCUUCAUUAUUUUUCCUCAACCACAACCCAACAUCACACAUAAGCAAUUCAAGUCAGGAGCCAUUCCAUAGGCUCACAAUAUCAUAAGAAUAAGAAUUACAACAAUCACAAGUGCAGAAAUUCAACUUAGCACAAGACAGAUUUGACGUACGAAUGCGGAAAUAACAUAUCCGAAGCUACGCUUAUCGGAUUGAGACGAAACCUAUGCCGGUUCGAAGCUAAGACACAGAGCUACAACAUUCAGGAAGGUCACUUAGUCCAGUUCCUAAUGUAACUUAGUCAAAUUCUCAAAUUACUAAACCGGAAACCAAUUCGUCGGCUGUUUAAAUGCAGAACACUGUAAUGGACAUAUCUCAGAGUACACAAGUCUGAAUCAGGUGUUCUUAGAGGCAUUUGAAAGGUAAUUCAGAAUACUACAACUUUCAUGUUUUGGCAAAAAGCUAAAUCAGAAUGGAUCCUAGUCGAAAAACGUGAUAAACUGGACUUAACUGAUCACAUGGACUGCUUGGGAAAUACUUAAAACAGUAAGGGUAUUUUGGACUUUUCACGUCCUACGUUGCUCCGAUUGAGCUGAAAUUUGUAGGCACCUAUAAAAUGCCAUUCUCUACAACUUUUCUUCUUUGACCUAAGGCCAAUUCGGCCUCUAACAUAGGGAUUCAAACAAUCCUCUUCUUACUUGAAAGUCAUCUUUACACGUUUUACUCCUAAUUAGUCGGGUUUCUUUGUUUCCCUUAAAUGUUUUGCUCGAUAAACUGUAAUAUGUUCUCUUGUCAACCUUAGGUUUCAUUGGUGACUAAGGGUAAUAUCCGGAAGGAUAUUUUGCACGUUAUUUUGCAUAUAUAGGUGAGUGUUCCUUAUUUGACUUUAUGGCUUGUUGUUAUCAUUUGCUAAUGUGUUAAUUGCUUUUAAUGAUUUCCAAAACGAGCUUUCUAGGUGAGUGUGUACUUUAUCGCACUCGACCUAAAUAACUGUGCAAUUUUCAAGGAUUUAAUGAUUGAAAUGUUACUUGAGCAUGAAUGUAAGCCUUUUGGGCUGAACUGGCCAUUGCCCUUGUUACCGGUCGUCUCGAGCCAGAAGCGGAUUCGGUCGGGCGAUUAGGGACUUGGGUGAACGUUUGGUAUACUCGAGUAUUACCCUGUAGGUUGGUGGAGACUGGCCAACGGCUAGGACGGGGGUGAAUGAAUGAAUGAACGAACGAACGAGGGUUUAUUGAUAAACGAAAAAUGCAUUUUCAAAUGAUUGGAGAAAUAAGGGGAAAUGUCAGGAGAACGAAUGAACGAAUGAAUAAAUUGCUCCUUGUGAGCCGUAUCCUUUUAAUGAAUGUUACUAUUGCUUUCCAUUGUAAAUGUUUCUUGAAUUAUUGAUACUCCAUGUUUAAUGUAUUGAAUUGAUUGUUUGAUUGUUUGAUUAUCUGUUUGGAAUCUCACUGAGCUUUUAGCUCACCCCUUUAGUUUUGUUUUCCUUAACAAGGGACGGCGAGCAGGAUGAGAGCAUAGAUUAGCCUAGUCUAGGUCUUUUGUUUCUUUUGUAAUGGUUCUCGCCCUAAUGCUUGGCACGGGCUAGUUGUAUGGUGAAGUGAGAACUUUUGUACAUUUGAUGGUUGUACUUCCUUUUGAGAUAGCAAUGUAUAUAAGUUCCACUUUAAGUUUGGAUUGCUGCCCUAUUUAUUCUUGUGAUUUGUUUUGGAUUUGAUUAAAGAACGACUGAGUCCCGGCGAGAGUUGGGCAGGCGGCCCGCCGAACCCUCUGGUACGCCUUAGGGGGAGGUGGGGUCGUUACACCCUCGCCUCACCUAGUCCAACCAAUAAUCACAACUAGGCCAAAUCACAGAAUUCAAGUACAAGAAAGCCACGGAAUAACAAACAUGUGAGUAGUACACUCACCAAGUCAAACAAAGAAAUUUCACAAGUUUUCGCCCGACGUGAGCCUCGGAUCACCGGCACGCCCUAUAAUAAUAAAAAAAGUACAAUUAAGACCCAAACACAAGUCGAAUACCUUUUAAUAGGAACUAUCAAGGCAAGACCCAAAUAUAGCUUGGAAAUGAAAAUACAUAACAUUUAGGGCUAAAAGUAGAAACAAACCCUAUGACCGUUCAUUUCUAUCAAAUCUCAACCCAACUCACAAGAACCUAAUAUCCUAGACACUUGGACAGCAUUUCCCCUAAAAUUUCAGUUUUUCCAUCCUACAAAACAACCAUUAAAAGCCAUCCAAUACAACCACAAGCACACAAACAAUUCAUAAGCCAUUCAAUAUACGUAAUUAGGGUCACAAUACCCCUCAAUUAUAACCAAUUAGAAGCUCAACAAUCAACCAUAGAAAAGCCCCAAUUUGAAACCCUAAAUCUGAAAUUUUCCGCACAAGCGGAAAUUUUCCGCAAUUAACUACAAUUAACGCACAAGAGAGCUAUAAAACACCAUUUAGAACCACCAAAUCAAACCCAAUCAUAUCCAUCAUAUGAAAACAGAAAAAAUUCCAAGAAAAAUCAGAAAAUUAGGAAACUUCACUCCAAUCCACCAAAUCUUCCGUACAAUCACGUAUAUAGAUACUAUAAGGCACCACUUGGCCAAAAUUAGAAACAAAAGAUGAGUUCCAAGCAAGAUACCUUAGAUCUUCAAGAAAGGUUGAAGCUUAGAGAGUUUUCUUCCAAAACAACACCACCAAGGUCUUCAAACACUCCUAGCAAGAUGAUUUUAUGGACUAAUUCAAGAAGUAAUCGGUUGAUUUUCAAGAUUGAAGCAAGAUUAGAAGAUGGAAGGUUGAGGAAUUUUUCUCUUUGCUUGCAAGAGAGGUUCGGCUAUGGAGGAGAGGAAAAUGAAGAUAAUUUGGUCCAAUUUUGACUUUUAAGUGAAGACAAAGAAAGUUAGGCAAAGUUAGGUAUGGUUUGGCCAACCAAAAUUGGACACUUGGCACCUUAUUUUCACUUAGAGUUAUCCUCUUGUCCUUCCAUGGUUAAUCCAUCUAGGUAACCUCUAAUCAUCUCCUAACACCUAGUAAUAAAAUCCCUUUAUGCAAAAUUUAACCGAAUCGGCCGAAUUUCUCUCACUAAAUGCACUAGUGGGUCCCACGUCCAAUAUACAUUCCUAAUUUCUCACGAACUACCUUAUACUAGUAAAAUGAUUUUAAAACUAUAUUUACUGAUAAAAUGUUGAUAAAAGUAAUAUAAUAAAGAAAAUAAAAGAAAACGGUGCGCAGAAAUAAAAUAAUAUAUAAUAAUAAUAAUAAAAAAUUUCCCCGUUUUGGGUUCUCACAUCCUCUCCCCCUUAAGCAAUUUCGAAGAAAUUUCGCCCUCGAAAUUGCUCACCUGGGUUACUAAACAGCUCAGGGUAUUUCUUUUGCAUCUCUUCCUCCAUCUCCCAGAUUGCCUCUUCUAUUCCAUGAUUCCUCCAUAAAACCUUCACUAAUGGAAUUUGUUUAUUCCUCAGUUCCUUAAUCCUUCGAUCGAGUACUUGUACAGGUCUCUCUUCGUAAGUGAGUGCCUUAUCUAACUCAAUCUCCUCUGGUCGCACAAUGUGGGUUGGAUCAGGGUAGUACUUUUUCAGCAUCGAGACAUGGAAGACCUCAUGAAUGCGAGACAAACUUGGCGGCAACUCGAGUCGGUACGCUACUUUCUCAACUCGUUGGAGAAUUUUGUAUGGCCCCACAAACCGUGGUUGAAGUUUCUUUCCUCUACCCGCAGUGACGCUUCGUAGUGGCGUGAUUUUAAGGAAGACACGGUCUCCAGCUUCGAACUCCAAAUCUUUCCUUCGGUUAUCUGCGUAGCUCUUUUGUCGGCUUUGAGCUGUUUGGAGUCUUUGACGAAUCAAUUUAACAUUUUCUUGCGCAUCCUCCAUCCAGGGAAUGGUUGUUGGAUCUAGAACUUUCUUUUCCCCUACUUCAUCCCAGUAAAUAGGUGAACGACACUUCCGUCCGUAGAGAGCUUCAUAUGGUGCCAUUUGAAUGGACGAAUGAAAACUAUUAUUGUAGGCGAACUCUACCAAAGUUAUGUGUUGGCCCCAAUUACCCCCAAAAUGCAGAAUACAAGUUUGUAACAUGUCCUCGAGGGUUUGAAUCGUUCGCUCCUACUGGCCAUCCGUCUGGGGGUGAUAAGUGGUACUAAGGUUAAGUUUGGUCCCUAAGUGCUCCUGAAAUUUUUGCCAAAACCUCGAUACAAAACAAGGAUCUCGGUCUGAAACUAUACUCACUGGAACCCCAUGUAACCUCACAAUUUCAUUUAGGUACAAUCGAGCCAGCUUAUCCAUGGAAUCCUUCACAUUCACAGGUAAGAAAUGAGCCGAUUUGGUCAACCGAUCAACGAUCACCCAAACGGCAUCAUGUCCUUUUUGAGUUCUUGGCAGUCCAGAAACAAAAUCCAUCGUGAUAUUUUCCCACUUCCAUUCGGGUAUCUCAAGAGGUUGUAACAGUCCGGAGGGUUUUUGGUGUUCAGCCUUGACUUGCUGGCAAAUCAAACAGGUUUGGAUAUAUUGGGCAAUCUCUCUUUUCAUCUUAUCCCACCAGUACAACCGUCGCAGGUCUUGGUACAUCUUAUUACUACCAGGAUGGAUCGUGUAUUUCGAUCGAUGGGCUUCCUCUAAAAUUUCCCUUUUCAGGUUUUCAUUAUUGGCCACCACUACUCGGUUUCUAUACCUCAAAAUCCCUUCAGGACCCAAAUUGAAAUCAGGUAAUGCUUCCUUUUCUACUUUUUCCUUCCACUUUUGUACCAUCGGGUCCUUCUCCUGAGCUUCUUUAAUUCGGUCAAGAAUAGCAGAUGUUACCCGAAUAUUUCCAAAAGUUAUUUUCUCGCAUCCCAAGCUAGGGUUCCACUCACUAGCUGCUCCUAACAUCUCCCACUCCUUGACCAUCAACCCUGCUACUUGAACCUUCCGACUUAGGGCAUCCGCUACUACGUUAGCCUUACCGGGAUGGUAGUUGAUCGUGCAGUCAUAAUCUUCUAAAAGUUCCAUCCACCGGCGUUGCCUCAUAUUCAACUCUUUUUGGGAGAAAAGGUACUUAAGACUCUUAUGGUCUGAAUAAACCUCAAAAGUAACCCCGUAAAGAUAGUGUCUCCACUUUUUCAGAGCAAAGACCACAGCAGCCAGUUCCAAGUCAUGGGUAGGGUAGUUUUGUUCAUGGGUUUUUAGUUUCCUAGAGGCAAAGGAAAUCACGUUCUUGUUCUGCAUCAAUACGCACCCCAAGCCUUCCUUCGAAGCAUCGGUAUAAACAGCGAAACUGUCCUUCCCAUUCGGCAAGGCCAGAACAGGAGCCAUGGUUAACCUUCGCUUCAACUCCUGAAAACUGGUUUCACACCUAGUAUCCCACACGAAGCGGCCAUUCUUCUUCGUCAGGUCGGUUAAAGGGCCAGCCAGUUUGGAAAAGUCUUUAAUAAAGCGUCUAUAGUACCCAGCCAACCCUAAGAAACUACGGAUCUCAGUGGGAUUUUCUGGUCUCUUCCAUUCAGCCACUGCCUCUACUUUCGCGGGGUCGACAGUGAUACCUUCUUUUGAAAUCACAUGUCCCAAGAAAAAGAUUUUCUCCAGCCAAAAUUCACACUUACUAAAUUUGGCGUAUAGUUGAUGAUCUCUUAGGGUUUGCAACACUAACUUCAAAUGCUGCUCAUGUUCCUCACGGGUUUUAGAAUAAACCAAAAUGUCGUCAAUAAACACAGCAACAAAUCGGUCCAGGUAGGGUUUGAAAACCCGAUGCAUCAAAUCCAUAAAGGCAGCAGGGGCAUUGGUCAACCCAAAGGGCAUGACCGCAAACUCAAAAUGCCCAUAUCUAGAAUUGAAAGCAGUCUUGGAUACAUCUUCUUUCUUAAUUAGCAACUGAUAAUAACCCUGUCGGAAAUCUAACUUUGAAAAGACCACUGUGCCUUGCAGCUGGUCAAACAGUUCAUCGAUAUGGGGAAGUGGGUAUUUGUUCUUAAUGGUCAAGUUGUUUAGUCCCCGAUAGUCGAUACACAGUCUUAAAGUUCCAUCCUUCUUCUUAACAAAUAGUACCGGAGCCCCCCAAGGAGAUCCACUCUCACAAAUAAACCCACGCUCCAACAGGUCUUGCAACUGCAACUUCAGCUCCUUGAGUUCAGCAGGUGCCAUUCGAUAGGGGGUCUUAGAGAUAGGUGACGCUCCUGGCAAUAGGUCAAUCUUAAACUCUAUCUCUCUUUCCGGAGGUAAAGUUACUAAUUCAUCAGGAAACACAUCCGGAUAUUCACUUACAAUAGGCACAUCUUCCACCCUCAACUUAUCAGUGGGAGUGUUUAUCAGAAAAGCUAGAAACCCUUGGGCCCCUCUAUACAAAAAUUUCCUAGCCCUAAUACCUGAGAUCAAUGCAGAUGAGGCUAAACUACCUCUUACAUCUAGCCUUACGGUUGCUUCUCCCGGUAUACGAAAUUCCACUAUUUUCCUCUUACAAUCAAGUUGUGCAUCGUACCUUGCUAGCCAGUCCAUACCCAAUAUAACGUCGUACCUCUUAAUAGCUAAACUUAUAAGAUUUCCCAAAAGCUUCCUCUCUCCUACCCAAAUUUCGCAAUUCGCAUACAUCGAACCAGUAAUCAAACAUUGGUUCCCCGUAUGAGUACUAACCUCUAAGUCAUAAGGCAAGCUAACAGGGUUAUAUCAAUGCCGCACAUAAAAUUGGGGUUAACAAAGGAAUGGGUAGCACCAGGGUCUAUCAAAAUCCUAGCUAGACGAUGGAAAACAGGGAUCGUAGCUUCUACAUCCCCAGAGGGAUCAGGGACUUGUUGUUGCUCAAGGGAGUAAACCCGAGCUGGCACCUUUGGCUUUGUCCCGUCUACCUUGGACUGUCCCAAGUUGGCCUUUGACGAUUGGGUGGUUGCUCUCGCCUCCCGAGGUAACACUGGGCAGUUGGCUAUUUGAUGCUCUGCACUCCCGCAGCGCAAGCAUCUUCUCUCCUUCCUCCAACAGUUGUCCUCAGUGUGGUUUGGUUUUCCACAAAAUCCACAGGGUCCGCGUGCAACUGAGGCCGAACUUCCUUGUGAGGUGCUUUUCUGUGGGCCCCGUCCAUUGUGACCACCCCUUGGCGGAGUCCCUCGUGUCAUCCCCGGUUGCCUUCCUCCACCGGCUCCUCUUCCAAACUUGGGAGGGGUCCCUUUAUCCCCUUGGGUCGAACUACUCGCAGAGAACCCCCGUUUUUUCACCUGAAAAUUCCUUACUUGAAGCCUUGCAUUUUCAACUCGCAAAGCUUUCUCCACGGCGUCACUAAAAGUAUGGAUCUGGGCUACCGCCAGAUCCUUUUGAAUUUCCACAUUGAGCCCCUGAGUAAAACGCCGAACUCUCCUUUGCUCCGUUAGAAUGAGUUCAGGGGCGAACUUAGAUAAACGAGUAAACUGGCUUUCGUACUCAGCCACUGAUUGAGUCCCCUGACGGAGCCUAAUAAACUCGUCUUCCUUCUUUUCCUGGACCAAAGGGGGAAAGUAUUUCGCAUUAAAGUCCCUCAUAAAGUUUACCCAUGUUCUUGGUGUUUGUUCCCGGUCCCACUUCAUUCGUAUCACGUUCCACCAAGAACGCGCGACCCCUUCCAAUUGAAAAACAGCGAAAGUAACCUGCCUUUCCUCUGAAUAGUGUAGGGCGGCAAAAAUAUCUAUCAUUUUCUCUAACCACUUUUCAGCCACGUCCGGAUCUGGCCCGCCCAGAAAUUUUGGUGGAGAGAACUUCUAAAAUCUCUCUAGGGCCCGAUCUUCACUCUCUAUUACAUGGCCAGGGUUCCCAGGUUGCUGGAUAGGAGGUUGGCCUUGCUGUUGCACUACGUGGGCUAACAGGUCAGUCAUUUGCUGCAUAGCAGCAGCUAUCUGGGCACUAGGGUCAAUCCUAGGUUCAGGAUUUGGUUCGGUCGUGGGAGAUAACACUCCACUCGACAAAACUAGAGACCUGUGGUUCGUUAUCUAAUCGCCCAAACCCUUGCCGGCUCGACUCAAUUAACUAGCCAGCGGGGUUUGGGUUCCCAAGUAAUCAGUAUAGUCGAUGAGAUACAUCUCCAAUCGAUUUAAUCAAGAUAAAAGUACAAUGAUGGAAUGAGAGGCACCUCCCACUCGGAUUGAGUGUGGUACAUGCUGCCACUCAACACUUACAAGUCAAGCACAAGUAUAAACUCAAGUACAGGUCAAUCAAGUUCAAGCAAGUACAAGAUCAUUCAAGAAGGGAAGGAUGAGUGCGAAUAAGGGCACACUCGCCUAACCCUAACCAAGUCACAAAUAAUGCCUAGCAUGUCACAUUUCCAUGCAUUUCAAGUAUUUCAAGUUAAUGUAUAGGUAACAUGCAAAUCAAGUUACUUGUACAUGCAAGAAUGAGAUAUCAAGUGUUUAGUUGAUUUAGGUCAACUGCGAUAAAGUACACACUCGCCUAUGAAUAUCAAAGCAAGUGUUUAGUAAAUUUCUAGCAAUAAUGAGCAAGGAACAUGCAGUUGGAACACUCACCAAUUAAUUACAACCCUUCACUUUUUCCCUGGUUCGUCCUCUUGAACUCUAUCGAGUCCUAUGGUCAUAUACUAGAUUUAAAGACUAGCAAUACAAAGCCAAAAUACAUGAAAAAAUUAAGGUUUCUAAGACUUCAUUUCCUUUCACUUAAACCUCAAUUCCACUCAUAAACCAUAUCCAAAAUGAUUUACCAAUUGCAAACUUAAAGUGGGAAAUGAAAGUAAGAACGGUUCUAAAAGAACAGAAUUUUCCAGUUUUGUGCAACACUAUUUGAAAAAUCAUAUCGCAAGCUUCUUAAGUCCAAAAUUGAUAAACUUCAUACUGUCAGAAAAUAGAUUCAAAGGGUUACAAUUUUUCAGAAGACAGAUUUGUAAGAUUCUAUCCAUAAGUUAGUCAAAUUUCAGCCUCAAGUUGCAGCUUCAUCCAGUAAAAGACAGAACAGGUGUGGAGAAUCAGUCAACUUUGAAAAAUCACAAAUAUUUAUAGGAAUUGAGAAAAAUUCUAAAAUUUUCAUGGUUGAUAUUACUCUGAAUCUAGUUUCGAAUACCAAAACUGAACUAAAUUCUAACUUCUUUUUUUACAUCAAGAUAUAACAGAUUUUCCAAAACUGCCCAAGGUUCCCUGCGAAUAAAUUUUCAGCAGCACUUCCUUUGUGUUUACUAAUUUUUCCAGCCAUUUCAAGGCUUCAUUCUCACCUCAAAUCAAGCAUAUACAUACCAAGCCAACAACUCACUAAAUCAAGCAUAUAUAUAUAGCAUAUAACCUUCACUUACUUAAGCUAGAAAAUUAAACCCUAAGCUGAAAUUUCAUUAAUUAAUACCAAAACUAGAGUAUCAUCCAAUAUAUUUCAAAAUUCAAGGCAUCUACUCCAUAGUUGGCUAAAAUAAGAAAGAAAAAGGAAGUUUUAGACUUAUACCUUCCAAAACACUUAAAGAAAGUGAAACACAAAAGCUUUCCUCUCCGAACAACUCCACAACAACCUUCCUUAGCUCCUUGGUGCUAGUUUAAUCGGUUUAGAUUUUGAGAUUUCAACUCAAACAAGGCGAAAUCAAGAUGAAGUUGGAAGUUCUCCUCUCUUGUUUUUCCCUUCCAAUUUUUGGCCACCAUGAAGAAAAAAUGAGAGAAAUGUAGCCAAAAGGAAAGAUAAGAAGGAAAGAGUUGUCUUGGUCAACCAUUCCUUUGAUUGCCAACACUUGACAAUCAAGAUUUCUCUCAUUUUAUUUUUCUUUUCUUCCUUUUCUUUGGUCAAGAAUUUUGCCUGGAUUAAGGGGUCAUUUAGGUGAAAUAAAAAAAAGGAGAUUAGGGUAAGAAAGUAUUGGUUAAGCAGUGUACUCAAUUGGUAACAAACGGUGCAUGUCGGUUCAAGCCUAUUUUCCUUAACUCUCUUGUACUUGUGUUUUAACUUAUGAUUCACUAACUUAUUAUUAGCACUUCUAAUGACACACUUUCUCUUAUCUAAUACAUACUCUAAUCCACCAAAUUUAGUACAUACACCUCACCAAGUGAUCACAUUACCAAAAUGCACCAAAAACACACUAAAAACCCUAGUAUGCACCAUUCCUUUAGAAACCUCAUACCUUGAGUUAUAAAUGUCAAAAAUUCAUACAACUUGGCCUAUUAAAAACUAGAUUUAAAACACUAAUAAUCUUUAGAAAGACACCUGAAAGAGAUUAAGUUCAUAAGUUUGUCCAAAUUGAAACAUAAGCUAUUGUAACAUUCCUAUUUUUACUUGGAAGGUAUAAUUUUCAGUCAAUUUUGUCAAUUUUCUGAAAUUUAUAGAGAUUGAAUCAAACUCUGAAUUUUAUACCGUAGGAACCGCUAUGAAUAUAGUUUCAAACGCAACAAAAGGAACUCAAUUCCGACUUUUCUAUAUGAAGUUAUAGCCAAUUUUCCAAAGCUGAGCAAAGCCUCCUACUAAAAUUUCUAGAUUUUCUAACAACUUAAGAGUAUGAAACUUUUCUUAACAAAAUUCACUCCCUUAGCUCAAAUUCAACCAUUAAAACAACCAAGAAUCUAAGGCAAAUAAAUUCAAAUAAGAGCUAUAAAGACAAGUUGUGAGGACUCAUGUUUUUAUUCUUAAAAUAGUCAUUUUUAUAAUUAUUUACCCUAGAGUUAGUUAAUUAUAUUAUCGUUGCAUGAAUUGCUUUUAAAUUUCGCUUUAUCGCACGCGAGUUGAAAGUUCGCGUAAAUCGUACCGGAACGAAUAAGUGGGGAUUUGAUAAAAUUAUAUUAGACUAGUAAGAGUGAGUAAUUUCAGUGUUAAAGAAAUUACAUUGGGGGAUUAGUGCACUAGUGCAAUAAACAAGAGAGAAAAGUGGUAGUACGAAACACUAUUUCAACAACUAUUCAAAGUUGACUUUGGCAAGUCUUUUAGUUCCUUUUUCCCUCCAAUCUUCCAAGACAAGCUUCACACAAACAAACACUCAUCUCUCUCUCCUCUUGGUCGGCCAAAAACAAGAAAGAAAAGGGAAGGAAGAAAGCUUCACAUUUCUUGCUCCAAUAUUGCUCCAAAUCUUCAUCCAACUUCCACACCUUUUGGAAAUCAAUUCUAGCUUGAAGAAAGACAACAUUUUGUGGAGUUUCUUGGGGAGUUUUUGGUGGAAAAAAAUCUGAUUUCAUCUAGGGUUUAAAGAGGUAACCUUCAUCUCCUUUAAUAUAUUUCCAAUUUCUUCAAGAUUGAAGGUUAGUUUUCAUGGGUUUACAGCCCUAAGCAAGAAAAUAGGCUAGAGGACUUGAGGAAACCAAUUACCUUGCUUUAAUCUCUACGCUAGUGGUCUUUAGGGGACUUGUAGGUAGCUGACCUGAGGCUAUGUUUCUUGGUUAAUGUUGCUUGUGUGAUGAAUGAGAGGAUCACGGUUAGAAAGUGGAGAGAAAGUUGGAAAAUGGUUGAGGUUGAGCUGGCUGAAAAUUCUGUCCAUGUUGUUCAGUUUUUAUUUCGAAAUUUUGAUAUUUGGUUGACUGUGAAAUUGAUGGAUAUAUGUUGUAUAUUGUGUGUACAAAGUGUGUUUCAAAAAUCAUUUCAUUUGGUUGCACAAACCUUGAGUUUUGGCAAGAUUUAAAUCUGGAAAUCGUAUAGCAGGGGUUCUCGGACAGUGCUUUUCAUUCGAACGUAACUCUCUGUAGAAAAGUCAAAAUUGAGUGCCAUUUGUGGCAUUCAAAACUAGACAUUCAUAGCUUUCCAACGGUAUAAAAUCUCCUGCUGGUUCAUUUUGAGUGAAUCGUAGUGAGUCGGCAAAUUUGGCUAUUCUGUUUGACUGUUUAUAAGAAUUAAACUGGAAGCUGCAUUUUGUGGCUCAAUUUUGUCCAACUUGUGAAAAUAUUUUCAAAAUAAUGUUUUCUGAUAAAUUGUAUCAUUUUGAACCUAGUUUCCAAUGCCAUCAACCAUUCUCAAUUUGGAGUUGUAUAGAGUCAGAUAUGGUUUUUUUUCGAAAAUGUGACAAAGCUGGAAACGGAAAGUUUUUCCUUCAUUGUUGGCCGAAUGGUCAAAUCUGUUUUGGGAUGUUAUACAUCAAAAAUUUUUCUGUCAAUUGCUUAUUAAAUGUUUUUGGAACCUUGGUUACAAAAAUGGAGUGAAUUGGGAUUGAUUUCAUUGAACAAAACCUUUGGAAAGAAAGAAAGAGUGAGUUGGCAGAUUUGCUUUGAAAGAUUUCACGAACUUUGGUCGUUUUGUUAACUGCCUUACCACGCGAAUUUUUAUUUAAAUUUUGAUAGAGAUAUAGUCCAUAUAUGGAGGUUUAAGUGUACCAAAUUUUGGUAUAGUUUCAAUACCAUUUCGAUAUCCAAAUGAUGCCCCAAAGAUUGCUCUUCAAAUCUGGAAAUUCACUGUUCAAGUAGUGAAAAUCAACCGACUUUAAACUGUUAUAUCUUGUUGCUCAAAACUCCGAAUUUAAUUCCGUUUGUUGAGUUUGAAACCUUGUUUGGAACUCUUAUUGUGUUAUGAAUUUCAAAAUCUAAUUCACUUUUUAUGAAUUUUACCAAAUUUCAAAAUAUUGCCGAAAACCAAGACUGGUUCUGUCUUGCUUGUUUAAAUCAGCAACUUUGAGCUGAAAAUGAAUGCUUUCUGUUUGGAACCAUGAAAAAGUGUCUUCUAAAAACUUCUAGUACUUAAAACCUAGUUUCCGACGGUAUAAAGUUUUCCAUUUUUGGACAUGCCAAACUCAAGAUCUGAUUUUCCAAAGAUCGUCGCGCAAAACAGAAAUUUUUCUAUUACUUAAGAAAUGAGUUUUUGAGAACUUGUCACUCUCUCUUGAUAUCGAUAGACCGUUUUAAACUCGAUUUCAUAGAAGUGGCAAGUCUCUCUUGGGAUUUUAAAUCCUCACUUUUGAACCUCGAUUUUUGAGAGAUUUAAAGUUCUAUUUUAAGACAUUGUCUUAGUUCUAAACAAGUGUACACUCUUCCUUGGUUGAUGCAUGCAUGGUUGUAAGUGAUAGUUAAUCGUUAUUUCUUCAGGCGCUCAAGAGGAUCUUCAAGAGAAUCUCGGAGCGGACGCCUAAAAGCUUAUUUGCUCACUUACUCACUUUUGACUUGGUGAGUGUCAAGUGCAUGAAUUGUUGUUGAGUAUGUGAAUUGCUUCUUGUGAAUUAUGUGAAUUAGAAUUAUCGAGACGAGUGUGUACUUAUCGUAUUCAUUCUCUUUAAAUGAAAUUAUGAUCGAAUUUCGCUAUGUGAAUUGAUAAUCGACUUGUGUGAAGUGAUGCUGUUGUGAAUUGUAUUUGUGAUUGUCGAUUGGAACAUUGUCUCAUCGACUUAUAUUUAUAUUCAGGGGACGCCCAAACUCAUAGACUAACCUUGUGACUCGAGCCGGCAUGGGUUUGGUCGAGAAAAUUGGUGAACCAUGAGAAAUUCGUAAAGCUUGAUCUAUUUGAUAGAUCUCGCUUGGCAUACUCGAGUAGUAUCGCCUUUCUAAAUGAUAAGCGGGCCCAGAACAGGGGGUGUAAUAGUGAAUGGGAUUCGUGAAGUAAGUGGUGUUAUACGGAUUAAAUAUACCUACCCGAUUGACGGAGAUUCAUCACAUUGAGGUAUAUGAUCGAGACUCGGCAAAGCAAGUGAAAUCUAGCUCCUGAGAGCUCCCGUAUUCUCAUUGAGUGGGUUUUAUUUUAAAUUGUGAAUUACUUGAAUGUUAUAGGUUUAUUUCUCAUAUAAGUGCUAUUUCUAAUUGAACUAUGUGUUUGCAUGCUUUUCUUGGGCUCACUGAGCAUAAGCUCACCCCAUUAGUUUUGUUUUCCUUAACAGGAGCCGAAAUGGAAAAAUUAUGGAGAAGCCGACUUGAUGGCCUUUUGAUUAGAAUUUUGAAUGUAAUUAGUUAGACGACUUUUGGAGGUUGUAUAUUUUGGGAAAUGUUGAUGUACUUUUGAUAACUUGUGAUGUAAGAUUUGAAUAUUUAUUAAGGAAGCAACCUUUAUUUACAUUUUCGACUUUUAGUAUUGAUUGAUUAUCCAUAAGUUGAAUUUGUCUCGUAAGUGAGUCCUGACGAGAGUUAGGCAGGCGUCCCGCCGAUACCCUUGGGUUCGUUCUAAGGAGAAGUGGGGGUGUCACACAAAUAAAUUUCGAGGCCUCACAAUUACUUUCCAAAGGAUACGGUGCUCAUUAGGAGCCACUUAACACUGUACAUUUCACAAUAUAAUAACUCAUUCAAUAUGAAAGGAUACAAACUCCUUCUGAGAGUCAUUUCAAUAUCAUUGCACAAUUCACCACAAUUACCUCCUUAUAUCCUCCAAAACAAUAAACAAUUCCCUAUAUUCAUUAAUCAGUUCAAUAAUCUCCAAACUUCAGGGUAAUACUCGAGUAUACUAAAACACUUACCCAAAAUUACCGUCCUAUUUAACCAAACCCUUUGCUAACUUGAAUAGUUCGUUGAACAGAGGGUUUUGGGGCCCAGUUCAGCCAGUGUGGUAAAAUACACAUACAGCUUACAUUCAUGCACACUUACAGUAACAUUUGGUCAAUUAUCAACCUUCAAACUCAACUAAGGCGAAUGCAAUAAAGUACACCUCCGACUAAGAAGGCGAGGGACAAUUGAGAUACACUUUACAAUGCAUCACUAGCAAUAUUCUAUAAUAAGCACAUUUAUCACAUAACUUUACUUAAGUAAAAUAUAAGCAGUUUAGACACACAAAUCCGGAGACACUCUUCUAAAGUAUUUUGAGUUCACACCUCAGUAUUUGGACCCUCAGCCGAAUCUCCCUCGACUCUUGAGAUAUUUAUAAACUUAUUAUUUUUCCAAAUGGUGAAGUUAGGGCUCACAUGAUUAUUUUGACUAAAGUGUAUAUAUAUAUAAUCCAAUAUGUUUAAAUGUAUAUAUAUUUAGAAGGAGUUUUAAGGUGAUUAUAUGUCACUAAAAGUUGGGAUUUAGGUUCCAAGGAUCAUUUAGAAUCGACGUGUAAAUUAAGUAAGUUCUCUAGGAUUUGAUAGUUUAGGGAUCUUAUGAAGUUCUUUGAUUUUACCAUAGAUUUUUGGAUGAGUUUAAUAGGUAAAACUUUGAUAAGGUAACUUAGAGAAGUUUUGAUCAGUUUUGAUUCGUUUCUACCAUAGAAAUUCAAAGUUAAAAGCCAGAAUCUAAGUUAGGAUUGUUCAAAACAGAUUUAGCAAGACAUACUUCAUGUUUUUUGUCCAAAGUUCACUAUUUCCAUUGUGCAAAUCUCCUAAAAUCCAACUUGCAUUUUACCAUUAUAUCUAAUAGGUUGUUCUUAAUUCAAAGUUUGGUCAAAAUUUCCAGAGAAAGUUUAGAAAUUAGUUUGAAAUCCUCGAUCAUUCCAAUCGGCUCAAAAGGGUCUAACUAAUUCAUACAUCUCUAGUUUUAGAUACCUAAAAUCUUAACAUUUAAUUUUCUUGAAUUGGUUCUAUUUAGAUGUGACGGAUCAAUUUAACUCCCAUUCCCCUUUUCUAAUCAUUCAAGUUCAAAAGUAGCUAAUUUUAAUGUACUUUCUUGUCCCAUAAUUCCAUCUUUUAUUGGACAAAAACCCCAUGCAUAACUAGAUUAUUACAUUAAGGUGUGUGUGCAAUUCAUAUGAAGCCAAAUAACUAGGUAAUAGUUACAGAUCCACUCAAAUAAGCUACAGAAACCUUCUCCUUCAAUUUUAACCAUUUUAAAUUUUAUCCAGCCACAAAUCACACAUCAACAAACUCAAAACACAGAAUAAGUGUGAAUCAAGCAUUUUCCAGCCAAUUUUAUACCAAAAUAUUCAUUCAAACUCCAAGAAAUUUCCAUUGGCUAAGCUGGAAAAUGGUAUAAUAGUCAUGCAGAUUCUAAUCAAAAUUCCAGCCAUAAACCAUCAAAUUUACACCAUAAAAUUCACAUGCAUGUCAAUAUUGAUGUAUUAUAAGGUGUGAACAAUAACAACAAUGAAGUUUUACAGCCAAAAUUCAUGGAAAACUGGAAAUUUUCACCAUUUCUUUCUCUCGGUCCAAGCUAGAAAAAUUCUAGCAAUUGGCAGUUUGAAAAAAUGAACUUUUCCCCCAACAAAAUUCUUUAUUUUUCACUCUAACUCAACAUGCAUACGAUGAUUAUUGUGUUAUGAAGUAUAUUGAACCACAAUGUGAAAUUUGCAGCCAAGAUUUGGAGUGGAAAACUAGAAAAUUUUCUCUUUCUCUCUCUCGGCCAUCCCAAACAGGUUCUAGCAGCUUUCUUUGACAAUUUCAGCCAAGAUUACCAAUGUUUUUACUAGUUUCACAGAUAAAUAUCCUAUAGAACUAGAGAUGAACAUAUUUCAUGCAUUCCUAGCAUAACUCUCCAAAGAGAAUUUUCAAAUAACAAGCUGCAAAUCCAGCUCUCACUCCCUGGGCUAUAACACAGUUUUCCAACAAAUGAGCGGUUAUUAAACAGGUUUUCUUCAGCAAGACUCACCAUUCUUAUCUAAAAAUCAACAUGCAACCUACAUAAUUAAGAGUAUUGGAAGAUUGAGGGGUUUUUUACAAGUUUUACCUCGCUUUCUACAAAAAUCUAAGCUGGAAAAAUACGGAAAGCCUACUUCCUCUCCUGGCUCCUCAAGAAAAUUGCACCAAGCUCCUCUUCUUUCUUUCCCCAAUUCGGCUGGUAUAGACACCAAGGGAUUGCACCUUCCCCCUCUCACUCAACUCUCUUUUGUGCGUGGGAAUGGGAUGAAGAUAUCCCUCUCUCUACCUCACACUCUCUUGGCUUCAGCUGGAAGCAAAGAAGAACCAGAAAUACUCUCACUCUCUCUCGUGUGGAUUUUGGCAUGUAGAAGAAAAUGGUUUGGUUUUCCCCUUCUCUUUCUUUUGUUCCUCUUGGUCAAGACAAAUGGAAUGGAGUUGGUUGCAUGGUCAUUUUUGAAGCAUUCCAUCGCCAUUUAGUCAUUUAACAAAGUUUUUGACAUUUGGCAAAAAGAACUAGACAUUUGUCAUUUGUGUAUUCUUGUUCCCAAACAUUAUUCCAUUGUGGCCAAAAUAAUUUUAGUAGUCACACUAUUGCACCAUUAAUUUGUUCUAAAUGGUAUAAUUUCUAUAAAAUUAUUCAUACAAUAAUCUAAAGUAUCCCUAUGCACUUAAAUUAUAAGGAGACAAUUAAACACAUAAAUCAAUCAAUGAUAUAGUAUAUGCAUUAUUUUUGAUAAAAUGCUAAAUAUACGAAUAAAUUUUUGGGUUCUCACAUCUAAACACAUGAAACAAGGUAAUCAUGUGAUUAUUCUUUAUUCAAGUAAGAUAUUUUACAUACCUUUUCCACUCUAGUAUCUUAUGAAUUCAUUUGAUUUGUUGAAUGUGACAAUUAACGAAAGCUAAACUUUGAAAGUUUUAGAGAUUCUUUAAACUUUGGGUUUAAUCUUUGUAAUUGAACUAAUUAGUUGCUUAUUUAUGGUCUCUCGGAUGUUAAGAACACAUCUUUGGUGUGUCUAGCAAUAGAUUUUCUGUCGCACUUCUAGUGUCAUUCUUCGUCCUACUUUUUAUUCUAUUGUUAUUUUUCCUUCAUAAAUAUAGUAUUUUAAUUCUUUUUUUAUUUUUUUAAAACCCAAUAACUAUUAUCAUAUUAAUAACCAUUUGUUGCAUUUGAAACUACACUCAUAGAAUGGUGGCUCAAGAUGUAUAUAGGGCGGUUUUGAGCUUUUUCUGUGGUGCAGAGCUCUCACGUUUUAUUAUGGCGACGUCCAUUGUGCUUCUUCCUAAGGUCAUGAACCCGAAGGAUUUUACUCAAUUCCAUCCUAUCAGUGUCUACAAUUUUUUGAAUAAAGUUAUAUCUCGCAUUUUGGUGGGGCAGCUGUCAAGUAUUCUGCCCCGAAUCAUUUCUCCCCAGCAGAGUGGCUUUGUUAAAUAGAGGUAUAUCUCGGAUAAUUAUUUGUUGACGCAGGAGUUGAUGUCGGAUAUGGGGAGGAAGUGCAGGAGGGGGACUCUGGCUCUCAAAUUAGACAUGGCUAAGGCGUAUGAUAGGGUCUCAUGGCGGUUCCUUAGCGCAGUCCUGCGCCGGUUUGGAUUUGGUAAAAGAUUCAUUGACAUGGUGUGGAGACUGAUUUCCAAUGUUUGGUUUUCUGUGCUUGUAAAUGGUGCGCCCUUUGGCUUCUUCAAAUCAUCCAGAGGGUUGUGUCAAGGGGACCCAUUAUCGCCGGCACUGUUUAUUAUUGGAUCGGAGGUGCUCUCCCGAGGCUUGAAUUCUCUUGUUUCUCAGGCGGGGUUUGUGGGCUACAAGGUACCGCAGCAUUGCCCUUCUGUUACUCAUUUGGACUUUGUAGACGAUGUUAUAAUUUUUACCAAUGGGGGUGCGGCUUCAUUAAAGCGAGUCAUGCAGAUCUUGGCAUGGUACUAGAAUGACUCUGGCCAAUUGGUUAACGUGCAGAAGAAUGGAUACUUAGUACAUCCUCGGACCACAUUGGCUCGUAAGGGUGUAAUUGAGAGGGUUACUAAGUUUCAAAAACAAGACUUUCCGGUUCGGUAUUUGGGUGCGCCGUUGUUUAUUGGUAGAGCCAAGGAGGCUUAUUUCUCGGACUUGUGCCAGAAGGUUCUUGAUAAGGUGCUUUCUUGGAAAUCGCGGCUUUUGUCGUUUAAGAGGAAAAUUAUUUUGAUUAGACAUGUUCUGUCCAGCAUCUCGAUCCACUUGUUGGGGAUGAGCGUCAUGCCAAAAGGUAUCUUCCGGGUGAUUGAAAGAGUGUGUGCGGACUUCCUUUGGGGAACGGGGGACGACAAAAAGAAAUUCCAUUGGAUUCGGUGGAGGGACCUGUGUUACCCCACUGAGGAAGGAGGGGCGGGGUUUCGAUCGCUAAUUGACACGUAUAAGGUUUUCUCUUGUAAGUUAUGGUGGAAUUUUCGAUGUGGUCUCUCCUUGUGGGCAAGAUUCAUUCAUUCUAAGUAUUGUAAGGGGCUCCACCCCUGCCAGAUCUCUGUAUCUCCCUUAUGUUUAGCAAGUUGGAGAAGUCUCCUCGAUAUUAGGGGGUUGGCGGAGUUGUGUAUUAGGUGGCAUCUGUAUGAUGGUCAUUGCAACUUCUGGUAUGAUAAUUGGACUGGGCACGGGGCCCUCUAUCUUAGAGUGGAGGUACGGGGGGAUGUCUCGUUUCCCAACGUUCUGACGAAUGGGGAAUGGGUCACAUGGAGGCUAGCAGAAAUUCUGCCUUUUGACAUGGUCCAGCAGGUAUUGGAGGUGGCUAGCCCGUGUGGGGGUUUCCCAGAUCGCAUGAUUUAGAUAGCGAUGUGUUUGGGUCAGUUCUCGUUAUCGUCCGCAUAUAACGAGGUUCGUGAAAUAAAGCCGCCUUCACGGCAGGUGUGGCAUGCAAGUGUUCCCUUAAAGAUGUCCUUCUUUAUGCUUCGUUUAUUCCUUAAUCGCCUGCCGUUGGAUGACGUAUUGGCGACACGUGGGUUUCAGCUUCCAUCUAAGUGCUCUUGUUGUCUGGUAUCGAAUAUUGGGUCCCUUCGGCACUUGUUCUUAGAGGAGGAUCUAGUGGCUGCGGUAUGGUGGUUUUUUGGACCAUUGUGUGGGUUGGCUCUGAAUGUCGGACAUGUCCGAGUGUGGAUGGGUAGUUGGUGGCUAAAGCCGGUGAAGUCGGAGUAGCUUAAGUUUGUGUUCCGGCUCUUACCUAGUCUCAGCUGUUGGCAUAUUUGGAAGGCUUGGAAUAAAGCAGUCUUCCAUGGGACAGUAUCGAAUCCUAUUGGUGUAUGUCAAGCCAUCUUUCGGGAUUUAAAGGAUGCGUAUUGGCUACGAUUCAGGGAGUUGCAGCGGGUGUGGGAGUGGCCUACGUUCUUGGAGUCGGUGGAAUGCCGGCCAGAUGCUAUCUUCAUACAACAAAUUCAGUGGCUUGCUCCGGGGCCUGGCGCGGUCAAGCUCAAUAUUGAUGGGUGCUCGAAAGAUAACCCAACGGUGAGUGGUGGUGGGGGGAUCCUUUGGAAUUCUGCAGAGUGUAUGGUAUUUGCAUUCUCCGGAUACCUUGGGAGGUGUACCAGCUUGCAAGCAGAGGCCAAAGAUCUGCUAAUUGGGCUGCAGUUAUGUGUGCAGCGGGGUUUCAUGGGUAAUUUGGUGGUUGAGAUGUGACAGCCCCACUUUCCCCUUAGGCGAACCAGAGGGUUCAGCGGACCGCCUGCCCAACUCUCGCCGGGACUCAGUCAUUCACUCACACAAAUCAGAAAUAGAACCACAAGAAAGAGCAAAACUAGGAUCCAAAACUUACAGCAAAACUUAUAUACAUUGCUAUCUCAGAAAGAAGUAUAACCGCUGAGAAUACAAAAGUUCUCAAGUCACCAUACAACCAGUCCAUGCCAAGCACUAGGGCGAGAACCAAAACAAAACCAAAACUAGACCCAGCCAUUCGAUACAGAGCUCUCGCCCCUGCUCGCCUUCCCCUGCUAAGGAAAACAAAACUAAAGGGGUGAGCUAAAAGUUCAGUGAGGUUCCGAGCACAUAGGCAACAAGGAGUUCAAAGCAUUCAUUACAUGUUACCAAUAAUUCAAAUACAAAAGAAAGCGAUAAACACAUUCAUUAAAAGGAUACGUGUUCACAAGGAGCCAUUCGUUCAUUCAUUCUCCUUUCGUUCCCUUAUACCUUCAAUCAUUUGAAAAUGCAUUUGUAUAUAAAUAAAACCCUCAUUCAUUCAUUCGUUCAUUCAUUCAUUCACCAGGCUCCACCAACCUCCACCAACCUACAAGGUAAUACUCGAGUAUACCAAAACGUUCACCCAGGUCCCUAAUCGCCCGAUCGAGUCCGCUUCUGGCUCGAGACGAUCGGUAACAAGGGGCAGUGGCCAGUUCAGUCCAAAGGCUUACAUUCAUGCACAAAUAACAUUUCAAUCAUUCAAUCAUUGAAAAUUUCACAAUUAUUUAGGCCGAGUGCGAUAAAGUACACAUUUGCCUAGAAAACUCGUUUUAACAAUCAUUGAAAGCAUUUAACAUGUUAUCAAUCAUUCAUACCAGCCAUAAAAUCUUGAAAUAUAACAAACAAGGAACACUCACCUAUACACGCAAAAUAACGUCCACUUCUCAAUCACCAAUGAAACCUAAAAGUAAACAAAGAACACAUUACAAUCCAUCUAUCACGAUUUGGAUGAAAUCAAGGAUUACCCGACUACUCGCGAGUAAACGUAUAAAAUGACUUUUAAAGUGUCAAUAGAGCAUAUGGAUCCGUGGACGGAAAUUACUAGGGUUCAUAAACCAACCCAAAGAGGUAUUAGGUUUUAGAAUGGUAAAAUGAUCAUUUUAUUUGCCAAGCGGAAAUAUACAGGUUCAAAUAGAAAUUUAGCACUCGGCCACCUUUUGAAAGAGCCGGUAACAUUUUCAGUAAAUACGUCCAAUUCGUCACAAAAUACAUUCGGAAAAUCACUUUAACUUGCUCACAUUACAAGAAGAUAAACGGACGGCAUGUCCCUUGUGUUUACCUAUUUUCCAGCCAUUAAUGGCUUCAUUAUUUUCCUCAAAACAGUCCCAACAUCUCAUAUAGAAUAAUCUCAUGUCCAAAAGCCGUUCACUAGUCUUAAUGUCAUAUAAAUACAAAAAUAAAUACAAAAAUCAAGCUAAAAACAUUUCCGGAUAAAAACAGUUUUUGACACCAUUUUGCGGUUUUGGCACCAUUGGCGCUACGAUUAUCGGAUGAAGGUACAAGAUACACUGCUUCGAAGCUAACAGAUAGGGCUACAAUGUUGAAGAAGGGCACUCAGUCCAGUUUGUAGUGCAACUAGGUCAAAAUUGACAUAUAUGAAACCAGAAACUCACAAACAGGUUGGCUAACCGCACAAUUGUUAAUCAGCAAUAACUCUGGUUACCGAAGUCCGAUUGAAGUAUAUCCUAUGGUGUUUCGAAGCUAAAACACAACCCUACAUUUAUUAUGAAGACCUCCAAGGCCAAAUCAUGCAUUUUCAUGAUCACAAAUGGAAAACUACACCAAAACAGAAUUCUGGGCGCGAAACAGGUUUCAUGGACAGCCAAGUGUAUUUCGGUCAUUUCACAUGCUACAGUGGUUGGAUUAAGCUGAAAUUUUUCAUGCAGCUAGUUUAUACUAUUGGCUACAACUUUCAUGUUUUGGCCAAAAGCUAAUUCAGUAGGAAUCAUGGUGAAAAGUCACGGUCCAAUUGGGUGAAAAGACAACCCUGUUCGCUGAACUCCUACCUAGACCAAUCUGGGUAUUUCCGUCUUAUCUCAGGCUACCGAGCUUAGAUUGGGCUGAAUCUUCACAGACAACUAGAAAACAUCAUUCCCUACAACUUUCAUGUUUUGUGCUAAGGUCAAUUCCGCCUCUAACCUGGUCGAACAGAAACAGGCAGAGAGGAAAAAAAAAAUGGACCCUAAUCUGGAAAUUCAUGCAUUCAUGUGCCAAUCUUCCACAAAACAACAUCUAAAACAACUAAAAACCACUAAUAAGCAAUUAAUUGAAGUAAAUAGGAAGUUUUUAAGCAAGGCACCUUGACACCUCAAGAAAGAUGAUAACUUAGGGUUUUUCUUUCACAAAUCCCUCCACUAGAAGCUUUAAUCCUCCUUAAUAAGUAACUUUGAUGGAGUAAUCUUCACUUUUAAUGGUUGGAAAUCAAGAUUGGAGCAAGGGAUUGAAGUACAAGAUGAAGGAUUUCCUCUCUUUUCUCUCCUCAAAAUUUCGGCCAACAAGGGGAAAAAUGAAGAAACAUUUGGUCAAAAUGGAUGUUUAGUAAAGUUAAGAAAAGUUAGUCAAAGUCCCCAUCCAAUGGUUUCAUGACACUUGUCCCUCUCAUUAAUGUCAUGCCUAACUUUUUUUGUCUUUCUCACACCUAUCCACUUGAUACCUCUAAAUAUCUCAUAACACCCGGUAAACUAAACCCAGUAUCCAAAACUUAACCGAACUGGCCGAAUUUUUCCGAAUUUUCCACACUAGCGGGUCCCACGUCCGAUAUACGCUCUUAAUUUCUCAAAAACUAACCGAUACUAGAAAAAUCAUUUAAAACUAUAUUUACUCAUAAAAUUGAUCUAGAAAAAUUUUCUAGUAAAGAAAAUGUAGAAAACGUGCAAUUAAGAAAAUUACGGGUCCUCACACUCUCUCCCCCUUCAAGAAAUUUCGUCCUCGAAAUUUUUACCUUCAUUUGCCUCAGACGAGCCCGGAACUGUUUGUGUAACAGCCCCACUUUCCCCUAAGGCGAACCAAAGGGGUUAGCGGACUGCCUGCCCAACUCUCGCCAGGACUACGGAUCAGAUUAGAGCUAUCUGCUUCAUUCCGGAACUUACAAACGCGCGUAAACAAAUCAAAAUAGUAGAAUAACCCAAAAUAAAAUAAAAUGAAAUCCGGAGCCGGCCAUGAAUAGUAACCGACCCGUCAGAACCCAACCGCAAUAGCUAACAAACAUUCACAUCUGAACUUUAGCGUGUACAAAUCAAAAUGACAUACAAAAGCUUUCAAAAGUUAAUACAUAUACACGGUUUGCCAAAUCAAAAGAGAAAACGCCCCAAAAGUACACUUAGGGUUUUAAUACAUGAGCUAUACAAAAGAUAUGUUCAACUAGCUCAAUUUGGCAGCCAUUUGUCAAAUCCAGACCAAAAGGGUUUAUUUUCCUGUAAGGAAAACAAAGGGAACAGAAAGGGGUGAGUUUGCGCUCAAUGAGGUACCAAACAGAUAGCAUUAAAAUCAUGGCAUUUCACAUUUAACAAAUCAGAUACACAUGUCAGAUGUAAAGCAAAGGAACCAAUGAUUCAAAUCAGAAGGAUACGGGUGGCUCUCAGGAGCCAAAUUUCCAGCGCAGUACUUGAUCCAAACCGGUUGACUCUCCGUCAACGUAUAUCGAACCAACGCGUCCGUAGACCCCUCUUAACACCGAAUUCCGUCCACCAAACACCCCUUUACCGGGCCCGCUCACCUCAAACGAACAAAAUGGUAAUACUCGAGUAUAUCCGGAAUCAAGGGUCUCAAUACCCAAAAUCCCCGAACAGACUACCGUGGUUCGUUAUCUAAUCGUCCAGGCCCUUGCCGGCCCGACUCGAAUAACUUAGCCACAGGACUGAGCUCAUAGGUCAUAGAAAUCCGAACAGAUGCAGACACAGAUAACAGAUUCAAAUUUUGCAUAGUAAAUUGGCAUAUGAACAGACAAGAGAACGACUGUGAUAAAGUACACCCUCGUCUCAAACAAAUAAACAGAUUGCAGAGCAGAAAUCAAGUUAAACAGCAAUGGAGGGGAGUGGUACACUCACCGGCUCAACUUCAAAAGUUUUCACUUCAGAUUGGCCUUAAUCGCCAAGAAACCCUAAAAUAAUCAAAGUAAACUAAUUGAAGGUUUCAUAUCCAAAAUCGAGUAAACGAAAUGUACAAGGGAUGCUCGACUACACGUCGUACGCCUUGCCAAUUAAAUACUAAUGCAAGGGUGGAAAACAUGAUUUCUUGGAAACAAAAAGGUAACAUGAAGACUUAGGCGCAAACAACCCAAAAGCCUUUCAUUUCCACCAAAAGGCAAUUCCAACUUAAAGGAACCAAACGGCCUAGAAAAUCGGGCAGCACCUCCCCUAAAAUUCUUACUUUUCCAGCCAUUAAGGCUUCAUUAUUUCCUCAAAUCAGUCCCAACAUUUCACACAAAAGUCAUCUCAUUUCCCAAAAGCCGUUCACUAGGAUCAACGGUAGUACAAGUACAAAAGUUAGCUAGGAAAUGAUCGGAAUGAGAGUGAGCCCUAAAACAUGCAAACAAGUACAUGGAGACUCGAUAACGAGUCAUAAAGCUAUGCCAACCACAACCCCAAUAAGGUUUCAUAUGCAUAUAUAAGCAUUAUAGCAAACCAGAAAAUCAGGAAAUGUAGCCAUCUUGGCCAUAACAACAAAAACAGUUUUGCCUUCAUUAUGCGGUAAUGGCACAAAUUGCACUACGCUUAUCGGAUGAGGGUGUAAGACCCACCAUCACAAAGCUAAAUGACAGGGCUACAACAAUGUAGAAGGCCACUCAGUCCAAAUCCUAGAACAACUAGGUCAAAUAUGCAGAAUACCAAACCAGAACCGUAAUUGCAGGUUUACAAAUCACACUAUGCUGUAAUUAGUCCAACUCAGUCUAUACAGGUCCAAAUGCAUUGAUUCCAAAGGCAUAUGGUAGCUAAGACAUCCAGAUACAUUUCAUCAGAAGACACCAACAUCCAAAUCCAAAGCAAUUCCAGUCAAAACAGACGAGUACAAGAGCCGUUCGCACAUUCUGAUCAACCCAGAACAGCAACAGUAAAAUCGACAUAUCUCACUCUACACUACUCCAAAUGACCUGAAAUUUUACAGAAACCUCAAACACAUCAAUACCUACAACUUUCAUGUUUUAAGCAAAGGCCAAUUCGGCAUAUAACCAUAUGAUCCAAAACCGGACAGAAAAGGGGGUUAUGAAACCCUAACUUUUCACAUUUCAAUCCAAACCCAAAAUUGGUUGCAAUUAUCAAUCAUUUACAUCCACUAGAGUCAUAACCCCUCAUUAUCAACCAUCAUAAAUAACCACAACACCAUGAUCACAUUAAACCAGAAAAUUCCUCAAAAAAAUAAAAACUUCACCAAUUCAUCUCAAACCAAGAAAUAAAUCACAAAUUUCAACACUUUAGCCACCACUAGGCACAAAUUAAACAUCAUUAAGUAUAGGAGGAUAGUCAAUCACCACUUACCAAGUAAACAAGAGAUAGGAAGUUGUAGAACACCUUAGCUUCUCCAAAAACCUUCACCAAAACACUCACUAGCACCAAAUGGAGGGAUUUUAUGGAGUAGAAACUAGUUUAGGCAAUUGUUUUUGGAAGAUUGAGCCAAAUGGAAGCUAAAAUGGUGAAGAAUUUCUUUCUUCUUUGCUCAAGGGAGAGCCGGCCAUGGAGGAGUAAGAAAUGAGUGAAUUUUGGUUAAUUUUUAAGAUAUUUAACCAAAUGGGUCAAAAGUCAAAAAACAUGAAUAGUAAGUCAUAAGUCAUAACCAAUGGAAGAGUGACACUUGUCACUUCAUUAAAUGCAAUCUUAUCUUUUCUUUUUCCUCUCACAUCAAUCACUUCACAUCCUCUACUUAUCUCUUAACAUCCGAUAAAUUUCCACCAGUAUCCGGAAUUUAACCUAAUUGGCCGAAUUUUUCCGAACUUUUCACACUAGUGGGUCCCACGUCCAUUAUAUACUCUUAAUUUUUCAAAAACUCUCCAAUACGAGAAAAAUCAUCUAAAAACUAUAAUUACUCAUAAGAUUCACCAGGAAAAUUUUCCUAAGCAAGAAAAUGCAGAAAACAUGCCAUUAAAGGAAAUAAACCCUAGGAAAAUUAUUAAGGGAUUUACGGGUUCUCACAGUUUGGGUGCCUAACGCAUAAGCUUUUGUUGGCCCACUAGUUCGGUUCCCUCUUUCAUUUGCUUGUUUUGUUUUAGCUCCCUCCAGUUGCGGAAUACUACCUCCGCGUGACUGUCUCCUCGGACAGUUGCUAACUUGGUGCUCACCACUCCCACAAAUCAAGCACUUCCGCCCUUUCCGCCAACAAUCGUUCUCGGUAUGAUUGGCCUUUCCGCAAUAGCCACAAGUCAGGUGAGAAGCCAUCUUUUGGCUUUCUUGAGAAAUUUUCUCAGGUCCGAUUUGGCUCCCUUUAGUAGACCUUUCAUUUCCCGCCCCUACCGUCCAGGGCGGGUAGGACAAAAAGUUUGCUUUAUGCAUUUUGGAAGGGACUAUCGAUUCACUUCGUUCCUCACUCAUACUACCAGCUGCACCUCUUUUCCGUGUUUGGGAGGCUUUUACUUGUGCCUUUGCAUUCUCGAUUCGUUGAGCCUUCUCAAGCGCCUCCGUAAAUGUAUUCACUUGCGCUGCUGCCAACGGCUCUUGGAUGUCCAAAUUUAGUCCCUGUAUAAACCGUCUCACUCUUCUCGGUUCUGUGGCUACUAAUUCUGAAGCAAACUUGGAUAGUUUGGUGAAUUUCGUUUCGUAUUCAGCCACACUUAAGGUCCCCUGGCGUAGUCCAAUAAAUUCGUCCUCCCUCCUUUCUUGAACUAAGGGUGGGAGAUAUUUCUCGUUAAAUUCUCUUACAAAAUUCGCCCAUGUCUAGACAGUCUGUUCUCUUUCCCACUUUGUUCUGAUUACGUUCCACCAUGCCCAGGCCGGUCCCUCAAAUUGAAACACUGCGAAGUUCACCUGCCUCUGUUCAGUGUAAUUCAAAGCUGUGAAUAUAUUCACCAUGGCCUCUAGCCAUUGUUCAGCGAUGUCCGGAUCAGGCCCUCCAGCGAAUUUUGGAGGUGCAAAUUUCUGAAACCGCUCCAGAGCCUUAUCCUCACCCGUCUCAGGGUUCCUGGGUUGAUUUACGGGUAUUUGACCUUGUUGAUCUACUAAUCUUGCAAAGAUAUCCGUCAUUUGUUGCAUUGCCGUCGCCAUUUGGUCUCCGAUUGCAACUCUCGGUCCUUGUUCUUGUUCGGCGGACGUUUCCCUUUCUGCUCUAGGUUCUGGGGUUCGUUUAGUUCCACGGCCUCGACCACGUCCCUGACUACGUCUCCCGUCCAUAUUUUUUCCUUCCCUCUCUUUUUUUUUCCAAAAGUGGUUUAAUGAAUAAAUGCAAUAAAGUGACUCAAAAGUAACCAAAAUUGAGGCACCAAGUACACAAGUAAACAUAUAUGCACAUAGCACUCCACAUAUCAAGAAAAUAGAUGAUCAAUUACACAAGUACGUAUCAAGUCAGGCAAAUAUUCAUAUGCUCAAAUACACCAAUGAACGUCAUGUAAUAAGAAUAUAUAAGCGAAUCAAACGAGGAGAUGAUGUGUCGUCCCAGUCUUAGCUAAGGUAACCCCGUCCGGUCCCUCAUGUCACUUACUAUUCACACCAGAUAUCCCUUAACCUCUUGUACUCAUUCCAAUCGAACAAAGCCUGUUCAUGUUCCCACAAUACAAGUCUCAAAUAUUUAGCACUAUCUCAACUCUGGAGUACUCGGGUACGAGAAUCCGAAAUAAGAUAAUUCACCUCUCGAGCUGGCCAGUCCCAAGAGUAAACCAUCUAAAAUCGGAAUUCCUCCCAGACGUACCUAUCUACGGUCCUCAGAUUCCACAAGAAAAUUUAAGGCCUAUAACGUUCACAACUCAUAACUUAUGCUCGAAUGAGCACUUAAUCCUUCAUACCUAUUCACCACUCAGUCCAGGCUCACUUCGCGCAGAGACCACGCGAAGCAGGCUCUGAUACCAACUGUGACAGCCCCACUUUCCCCUUAGGCGAACCAGAGGGUUCAGCGAACCGCCUGCCCAGCUCUCGCCGGGACUCAGUCGUUCACUCACACAAAUCAGAAAUAGAACCACAAGAAAGAGCAAAACUAGGAUCCAAAACUUACAGCAAAACUUAUAUACAUUGCUAUCUCAGAAAAAAGCAUAACCGCUGAGAAUACAAAAGUUCUCAAGUCACCAUACAACCAGUCCAUGCCAAGCACUAGGGCGAGAACCAAAACAAAACCAAAACUAGACCCAACCAUUCGAUACAGAGCUCUCGCCCCUGCUCGCCUUCCCCUGCUAAGGAAAACAAAACUAAAGGGGUGAGCUAAAAGCUCAGUGAGGCUCCGAACACAUAGGCAACAAGGAGUUCAAAGCAUUCAUUACAUGUUACCAAUAAUUCAAAUACAAAAGAAAGCGAUAAACACAUUCAUUAAAAAGAUAUGUGCUCACAAGGAGCCAUUCGUUCAUUCAUUCUACUUUCGUUCCCUUAUACCUUCAAUCAUUUGAAAAUGCAUUUGUAUAUAAAUAAAACCCUCAUUCAUUCAUUCGUUCAUUCAUUCAUUCACCAGGCUCCACCAACCUCCACCAACCUACAAGGUAAUACUCGAGUAUACCAAAACGUUCACCCAGGUCCCUAAUCGCCCCACCGAGUCCCCUUCUGGCUCGAGACGACCGGUAACAAGGGGCAGUGGCCAGUUCAGCCAAAAGGCUUACAUUCAUGCACAAAUAACAUUUCAAUCAUUCAAUCAUUGAAAAUUUCACAAUCAUUUAGGCCGAGUGCGAUAAAGUACACAUUUGCCUAGAAAACUCGUUUUAAUAAUCAUUGAAAGCAUUUAACAUGUUAUCAAUCAUUCAUACCAGCCAUAAAAUCUUGAAACAUAACAAACAAGGAACACUCACCUAUACACGCAAAAUAACGUCCACUUCUCAAUCACCAAUGAAACCUAAAAGUAAACAAAGAACACAUUACAAUCCAUCUAUCAUGAUUUGGAUGAAAUCAAGGAUUACCCGACUACUCGCGAGUAAACGUAUAAAAUGACUUUUAAAGUGUCAAUAGAGCAUAUGGAUCCGUGGACGGAAAUUACUAGGGUUCAUAAACCAACCCAAAGAGGUAUUAGGUUUUAGAAUGGUAAAAUGAUCAUUUUAUUUGCCAAGCGGAAAUAUACAGGUUCAAAUAGAAAUUUAGCCCUCGGCCACCUUUUGAAAGAGCCGGUAACAUUUUCAGUAAAUACGUCCAAUUCGUCACAAAAUACAUUCGGAAAAUCACUUUAACUUGCUCACAUUACAAGAAGAUAAACGGACGGCAUGUCCCUUGUGUUUACCUAUUUUCCAGCCAUUAAUGGCUUCAUUAUUUUCCUCAAAACAGUCCCAACAUCUCAUAUAGAAUAAUCUCAUGUCCAAAAGCCGUUCACUAGGCUUAAAGUCAUAUAAAUACAAAAAUAAAUACAAAAAUCAAGCUAAAAACAUUUCCGGAUAAAAACAGUUUUUGACACCAUUUUGCGGUUUUGGCACCAUUGGCGCUACGAUUAUCGGAUGAAGGUGCAAGAUACACUGCUUCGAAGCUAACAGAUAGGGCUACAAUGUUGAAGAAGGGCACUCAGUCCAGUUUGUAGUGCAACUAGGUCAAAAUUGACAUAUAUGAAACCAGAAACUCACAAACAGGUUGGCUAACCGCACAAUUGUUAAUCAGCAAUAACUCUGGCUACCGAAGUCCGAUUGAAGUAUAUCCUAUGGUGUUUCGAAGCUAAAACACAACCCUACAUUUCUUAUGAAGACCUCCAAGGCCAAAUCAUGCAUUUUCAUGAUCACAAAUGGAAAACUACACCAAAAUAGAAUUCUGGGCGCGAAACAGGUUUCAUAGACAGCCAAGGGUAUUUCGAUCAUUUCACAUGCUACAGUGGUUGGAUUAAGCUGAAAUUUUUCAUGCAGCUAGUUUAUACUAGUGGCUACAACUUUCAUGUUUUGGCCAAAAGCUAAUUCAGUAGGAAUCAUGGUGAAAAGUCACGGUCCAAUUGGGUGAAAAGACAACCCUGUUCGCUGAACUCCUACCUAGACCAAUCUGGGUAUUUCCGUCUUAUCUCAGGCUACCGAGCUUAGAUUGGGUUGAAUCUUUACAGACAACUAGAAAACAUCAUUCCCUACAACUUUCAUGUUUUGUGCUAAGGUCAAUUCGGCCUCUAACCUGGUCGAACAGAAACAGGCAGAAAGGAAAAAAAAAUGGACCCUAAUCUGGAAAUUCAUGCAUUCAUGUGCCAAUCUUCCACAAAACAACAUCUAAAACAACUAAAAACCACUAAUAAGCAAUUAAUUGAAGUAAAGAGGAAGUUUUUAAGCAAAGUACCUUGACACCUCAAGAAAGAUGAUAACUUAGGGUUUUUCUUUCACAAAUCCCUCCACUAGAAGCUUUAAUCCUCCUUAAUAAGUAACUUUGAUGGAGUAAUCUUCACUUUUAAUGGUUGGAAAUCAAGAUUGGAGCAAGGGAUUGAAGUACAAGAUGAAGGAUUUCCUCUCUUUUCUCUCAAAAUUUCACCCAACAAGGUGAAAAAUGAAGAAACAUUUGGUCAAAAUGGAUGUUUAGUAAAGUUAAGAAAAGUUAGUCAAAGUCCCCAUCCAAUGGUUUCAUGACACUUGUCCCUCUCAUUAAUGUCAUGCCUAACUUUUUUUGUCUUUCUCGCACCUAUCCACUUGAUACCUCUAAAUAUCUCAUAACACCCGGUAAACUAAACCCAGUAUCCAAAACUUAACCGAACUGGCCGAAUUUUUCCGAAUUUUCCACACUAGUGGGUCCCACGUCCGAUAUACGCUCUUAAUUUCUCAAACACUAACCGAUACUAGAAAAAUCAUUUAAAAACUAUAUUUACUCAUAAAAUUGAUCUAGAAAAAUUUUCUAGUAAAGAAAAUGCAGAAAACGUGCAAUUAAGAAAAGUACGGGUCCUCACACUCUCUCCCCCUUCAAGAAAUUUCGUCCUCAAAAUUUUUACCUUCAUUUGCCUCAGACGAGCCCGGAACUGUUUGUGUAACAGCCCCACUUUCCCCUAAGGCGAACCAAAGGGGUUAGCGGACUGCCUGCCCAACUCUCGCCAGGACUACGGAUCAGAUUAGAGCUAUCUGCUUCAUUUCGGAACUUACAAACGCGCGUAAACAAAUCAAAAUAGUAGAAUAACCCAAAAUAAAAUAAAAUGAAAUCCGGAGCCGGCCAUGAAUAGUAACCGACCCGUCAGAACCCAACCGCAAUAGCUAACAAACAUUCACAUCUGAACUUUAGCGUGUACAAAUCAAAAUGACAUACAAAAGCUUUCAAAAGUUAAUACAUAUACACGGUUUGCCAAAUCAAAAGAGAAAACGCCCCAAAAGUACACUUAGUGUUUUAAUACAAUGAGCUAUACAAAAGAUAUGUUUUCAACUAGCUCAAUUUUGGCAGCCAUUUGUCAAAUCCAGACCAAAGGGUUUAUUUUCUGUAAGGAAAAGGCAAAAGGAACGGAAAGGGUGAGCUUUUGCGCUGCAUGAGGUACCAAAACAGAUACAUUAAAAUCGUGCAUUUCACGAAUUUAACAAAUCAGAUACACAUGUCAAGAGUGUAAAGCAAAGGAAGCCAAUUGAUUCACAUCAGAAGGAUAACGGUGGCUCUCAGGAGCCAAAUUUCCAGCGCCAGUACUUGGAUCCAAAUCGGUUGACUCUCCGUGCAACGGUAUAUAGAACGGCAACAGCGUCCGUAGACACCUCUUUACACCCGGAAUUCCGUCCACCAAACACCACCUUUAUCCGGCCCCUCACCUCAAAACGAAAUCAAAAUGGUAUACUCGAGGUAUACCCGGAAUCAAGGGUCUCAUACAAAAUCCCCAGAACAGACUAACCGUGGGUUCGUUAUCUAAUCGUCAGGCCCUUGCCGGCCCGACUCGAAUAACCUUACGGCAACAGGACUUGAGCUCAUAGGUCAUAAGAAAAUCGCGAAAACAGAAUGCAGACACAGGAUAACAAGAUUCAAAUUUUGCAAUAGUAAAAUUGGCAAUGAACAAGACAAGAGAACGAGUGUGAUAAAGUACACCCUCGUCUCAAACAAAUAAACAGAUUGCAGAGCAGAAAUCAAGUUAAACAGCAAUGGAGGGGAGUGGUACACUCACCGGCUCAACUUCAAAAGUUUUCACUUCAGAUUGGCCUUAAUCGCCAAGAAACCCUAAAAUAAUCAAAGUAAACUAAUUGAAGGUUUCAUAUCCAAAAUCGAGUAAACGAAAUGUACAAGGGAUGCUCGACUACACGUCGUACGCCUUGCCAAUUAAAUACUAAUGCAAGGGUGGAAAACAUGAUUUCUUGGAAACAAAAAGGUAACAUGAAGACUUAGGCGCAAACAACCCAAAAGCCUUUCAUUUCCACCAAAAGGCAAUUCCAACUUAAAGGAACCAAACGGCCUAGAAAAUCGGGCAGCACCUCCCCUAAGAUUCUUACUUUUCCAGCCAUUAAGGCUUCAUUAUUUCCUCAAAUCAGUCCCAACAUUUCACACAAAAGUCAUCUCAUUUCCCAAAAGCCGUUCACUAGGAUCAACGGUAGUACAAGUACAAAAGUUAGCUAGGAAAUGAUCGGAAUGAGAGCGAGCCCAAAAACAUGCAAACAAGUACAUGGAGACUCGAUAACGAGUCAUAAAGCUAUGCCAACCACAACCCCAAUAAGGUUUCAUAUGCAUAUAUAAGCAUUAUAGCAAACCAGAAAAUCAGGAAAUGUAGCCAUCUUGGCCAUAACAACAAAAACAGUUUUGCCUUCAUUAUGCGGUAAUGGCACAAAUUGCACUACGCUUAUCGGAUGAGGGUGUAAGACCCACCAUCACAAAGCUAAAUGACAGGGCUACAACAAUGUAGAAGGCCACUCAGUCCAAAUCCUAGAACAACUAGGUCAAAUAUGCAGAAUACCAAACCAGAACCGUAAUUGCAGGUUUACAAAUCACACUAUGCUGUAAUUAGUCCAACUCAGUCUAUACAGGUCCAAAUGCAUUGAUUCCAAAGGCAUAUGGUAGCUAAGACAUCCAGAUACAUUUCAUCAGAAGACACCAACAUCCAAAUCCAAAGCAAUUCCAGUCAAAACAGACGAGUACAAGAGCCGUUCGCACAUUCUGAUCAACCCAGAACAGCAACAGUAAAAUCGACAUAUCUCACUCUACACUACUCCAAAUGACCUGAAAUUUUACAGAAACCUCAAACACAUCAAUACCUACAACUUUCAUGUUUUAAGCAAAGGCCAAUUCGGCAUAUAACCAUAUGAUCCAAAACCGGACAGAAAAGGGGGUUAUGAAACCCUAACUUUUCACAUUUCAAUCCAAACCCAAAAUUGGUUGCAAUUAUCAAUCAUUUACAUCCACUAGAGUCAUAACCCCUCAUUAUCAACCAUCAUAAAUAACCACAACACCAUGAUCACAUUAAACCAGAAAAUUCCUCAAAAAAAUAAAAACUUCACCAAUUCAUCUCAAACCAAGAAAUAAAUCACAAAUUUCAACACUUUAGCCACCACUAGGCACAAAUUAAACAUCAUUAAGUAUAGGAGGAUAGUCAAUCACCACUUACCAAGUAAACAAGAGAUAGGAAGUUGUAGAACACCUUAGCUUCUCCAAAAACCUUCACCAAAACACUCACUAGCACCAAAUGGAGGGAUUUUAUGGAGUAGAAACUAGUUUAGGCAAUUGUUUUUGGAAGAUUGAGCCAAAUGGAAGCUAAAAUGGUGAAGAAUUUCUUUCUUCUUUGCUCAAGGGAGAGCCGGCCAUGGAGGAGUAAGAAAUGAGUGAAUUUUGGUUAAUUUUUAAGAUAUUUAACCAAAUGGGUCAAAAGUCAAAAAACAUGAAUAGUAAGUCAUAAGUCAUAACCAAUGGAAGAGUGACACUUGUCACUUCAUUAAAUGCAAUCUUAUCUUUUCUUUUUCCUCUCACAUCAAUCACUUCACAUCCUCUACUUAUCUCUUAACAUCCGAUAAAUUUCCACCAGUAUCCGGAAUUUAACCUAAUUGGCCGAAUUUUUCCGAACUUUUCACACUAGUGGGUCCCACGUCCAUUAUAUACUCUUAAUUUUUCAAAAACUCUCCAAUACGAGAAAAAUCAUCUAAAAACUAUAAUUACUCAUAAGAUUCACCAGGAAAAUUUUCCUAAGCAAGAAAAUGCAGAAAACAUGCCAUUAAAGGAAAUAAACCCUAGGAAAAUUAUUAAGGGAUUUACGGGUUCUCACAGUUUGGGUGCCUAACGCAUAAGCUUUUGCUGGCCCACUAGUUCGGUUCCCUCUUUCAUUUGCUUGUUUUGUUUUAGCUCCCUCCAGUUGCGGAAUACUACCUCCGCGUGACUGUCUCCUCGGACAGUUGCUAACUUGGUGCUCACCACUCCCACAAAUCAAGCACUUCCGCCCUUUCCGCCAACAAUCGUUCUCGGUAUGAUUGGCCUUUCCGCAAUAGCCACAAGUCAGGUGAGAAGCCAUCUUUUGGCUUUCUUGAGAAAUUUCCUCAGGUCCGAUUUGGCUCCCUUUAGUAGACCUUUCAUUUCCCGCCCCUACCGUCCAGGGCGGGUAGGACAAAAAGUUUGCUUUAUGCAUUUUGGAAGGGACUAUCGAUUCACUUCGUUCCUCACUCAUACUACCAGCUGCACCUCUUUUCCGUGUUUAGGAGGCUUUUACUUGUGCCUUUGCAUUCUCGAUUCGUUGAGCCUUCUCAAGCGCCUCCGUAAAUGUAUUCACUUGCGCUGCUGCCAACGGCUCUUGGAUGUCCAAAUUUAGUCCCUGUAUAAACCGUCUCACUCUUCUCGGUUCUGUGGCUACUAAUUCUGAAGCAAACUUGGAUAGUUUGGUGAAUUUCGUUUCGUAUUCAGCCACACUUAAGGUCCCCUGGCGUAGUCCAAUAAAUUCGUCCUCCCUCCUUUCUUGAACUAAGGGUGGGAGAUAUUUCUCGUUAAAUUCUCUUACAAAAUUCGCCCAUGUCUAGACAGUCUGUUCUCUUUCCCACUUUGUUCUGAUUACGUUCCACCAUGCCCAGGCCGGUCCCUCAAAUUGAAACACUGCGAAGUUCACCUGCCUCUGUUCAGUGUAAUUCAAAGCUGUGAAUAUAUUCACCGUGGCCUCUAGCCAUUGUUCAGCGAUCCCAAAUAGUUAGUCACCAAGCCCAUGAUGCCAAAUCUAGGUAAAUUGGCAAACGCAGGGAUAGGUAUGCCAGCAGGUUAGGUUACAAUAAAGAACACACACUAUAAACAAUAACCAAAAUAAAGCUCAAAACAAAAUUGAGACUCUAUCACACAACAAUACUAUCUUGACUGAUCAAAUUUGCAAAUUUAAACAACAACACUCUCUGGCAAAUGUUAAUUACCGCAAAACCUGAGAUACGUUAUCAGUUAUUAGGAACGCUACAUCCUUUAACAACAUUGCCAGGAGUAUGAGAAUCAUCCUAAAAUCAUUUAGUAUCCUUAAUCAGUAUAUCAAUGUAGAUGCUGGGGAUGCUAGGGACACUGAUACCGAGUCUGAAUUUCUGGCUACCUUUACCAAGAUAUUCAUCACUUCUGGUUUUCAUUCUAUAAUUCAGCAUUUUAGUCAUUUCGUAGUCCAUCAUGGGGAGACUAAUAAACUUCAUGGAGAACCGAAAGACGAUAUCAAAAAAUUUCACAAUCCUGGCAUCAUUCAUCUCUUAUAGAAAUAAAAAUGACGAAGCUUUUGCUUUCCACCAAAAGGCAUAAACUGAUUGUUACCUAAACCAUGAAAAUCUGCAACCUUUAAGUCAGCCUGUGUCUAGUCACAAAACUUAAUUAUUUACACCUCAAAAGGAACUUAAAGAAUUAGGAGUAAAACUAAGCUGCGCUGUCACACUUGCACCAAGACAUCCACAACCUCCAAGUAACUCAAUGAAUCAAACUUACACAAACCCCAACAAACACAUAAAAUACCAGAGCAAAACAUUCGCAAGCAACAAGAAAUAAGCAACUAAAACCAAAAGCUGAAAACUAUGUAGACCAUAUAACUCACUCUGACAUAACAAUUCAUGCAGAAAACAGAUUCCUCACAUAAGUAUCCCAGUUAGUAAUUUCCCAACGCAAGAGCAAAAUCCAGAUGCUCCCCGUGAAAUCUAAGAUAUUUAACACUUACUCCACUUCAGUUGCAACUUAAGCAACGAAACAUAUUUAAGUAUCUUACAAAUUCCCAGAUUUAUGUCUAACCCGAGAGUAGUUUCAAAUUAGGGCACCAAUAGCGAUUAAACGCAUUAAUCUAAGCAAAUAAAACAUAGAUACUUCAGAGCAGGAAUGAGCCAUUAAUGAUAAUAAUGAGAGGGAAAAGAGAAAGAGAGAUGGAAAUGCUUACAUGAUCAUGGCCAUGGAUAUCUGUUUGAAAUCAUGUUUUUCUUUUUGUGGGAAAUGGAGAAGAAUUGCCCAAAAAAUUUCUAAAAUUUAAGCGAGAAUCAAGGAAACUUUAGCUUUGCAGUUGAUCGGAGAAGGAGAGAAGAGGGGAUUGACAACUUCUUUUUAGAGGAGAGGGUAUAAGUGGGCUGGAGUUGCGGCGUGGAGGGAUAUGAGAGAAUUUUUUGUUGGAAUUCUGCCUAGCUGCGGCUGCGGCUGCGGUUUAGAGUUGAAAGGAAACAAAGGAAAAAGGAGGAGGAAGAAAUGGAGAGUGGGAGAAAAAGAAAGAAACACGUGUCCAACUCCAUAAAUCUGAUGGCCUUUAAAAAUCACGAGCAACUCACGAGGGCCGACGAAAACCAAAAAGUACUUCAGAGUUAAAGAGCUCUUCGGCUCUUAUUCUGUAUAUGUUGAUAGAUUCUGUUCAAGAUGCAUGGUAGAGGGAAACCAUUUAGGCUUGGUCUUGUGCAAAAAGUUCUUGAAAGGUAAAUGGAACUUCCAAAAAGCUGGAUUUCCUUCUUCCACUAAAAGGAACCCUUCAUCCCAAGUUCCGCGACCGGUUUGUUACUCAUCAGAGAUGUGUAAGGAAUCAACGAUGACUCUUUCAUACUCGUUCGACUCGACCUGAGUCGACUCAGAGAUUCAAAAAAAUCGCCCGCAACCAUCUGAGUCAACCCGCCUCAACUUGGAUCCAAGGAUGCAACAAACUCUCCGGUAUUCUAAAAUCCAAGAAGAGGCAACGAUCAUCAGAAAAUAACAUGUCAAAAACAUUGAAAAUCCAUGGACAGCAAUCAAGAAAAAUACAAUAAUAGAGAUAUAAGGAAAAAAAAUAAAAGGCAUGAGAUGGGUAAAUAAGGAAACCAGGGAGAGGAAAGCGGCGAGGAAAAAGAAACCAAGAAAGUUUGGACAUGAGAAAAAGGGUUCUGGUUAUGGCAAUCAACCCAGAUUUAAAAUAGACGGGAUUGUAACAAGAUUGUAAUAUUAAAAUAAAAGUUAUAAUGAAGACUUACUUGUAUAUAGCAGAAUAUUGUAUAUAGCAUAAUAUUGUUGAAGAUAUCUCGAAACUUGAUAAAACUUCUCAAGAGAUUCUUGUUUAAAGAAAUUUUUACAAGAGAGGUUUUGAGGGUUCUAACAGUACUAGCAUCACACACACCCUUUACAAUACAUAAGCAUGUAUAUUUAUGGUAGGCUAGUGUAACUAUAUUUGAAAUUUCAUUUACAUUUCAUGUUUAUGUUGAUAUUAUUUGAAUAUAUAUUUUAUCAUCAUGCUGACACUUCUUAUAUGUCACAUUUUAUUAUGACCGACAAUUUUUGAAUUAUUGUUGCAUCUUUUAUAUUUAAUUUGGAUCUUGUGCACAUGAGCCACCAAAUGGAUCUUACAUCAUAAUAGAUUUUGAAGAUUUUGCAAUCUCCUUUAACUUCUCUUGUUUGCUUUUGAGAUGGUCCAUAUACUGUUUGAGUAUGUCUGAAUCUUCUAUAAUUUUUGCAAAAAAAAAGUCAUGAGUGGAUCUUGAUAAUCCAUUUUCUUUUAUUUUUUUCAUCUCUUUCCUUCUUCUUUUGAAUCUCCUUGGAUAUUGAAUGUAUUUGCCAUUGGAGUUUUUGUCCCGUUUGAAGAAAUCUUUUAACAUUUUCUUGCAAAAAAUAGUCCAUAGUAAAGCCUGUCCACCAUUUGAUUUUGUAUUGUCUAAUCAAUGACAUUGGGAAUGGUUUUGGAAGUUGCUAUAUAAUCUUGUAACUUCAACAAAAAAUCCAUAGAACUUUGAACUCAAAAUGAAAUAAUAUUAGUUUUGUAUAUUCUUCUCCUGGUGCUUUUCUUUGAUAUAAUUGGAAUUCCAUUUUUGCUUUGGGGGGAAAACUCUUGAGUUGCAGACCAAAAAAAUUCUACCAAUGGUAAAAUCAAAUUGGAAAUUUUCGAUCACAAUUGACAUGAAAUGUAAAGAACCAUGAAUGAUUGAAGAAACGAAAGAGAGAGGCUCUACACCAGGCCAUUCUGUAAUCCUGGUAUGUGUAGCCAUCUAAAAUGUGUCUGAUUGAAAAGGUUUUCUUUGAUUAGAGAGAUACCCAUUCAUCUAGUCAGCACACCUUUUUAAUUACACAUUUGGAAUGAGAAAUUUUAUUUGGAUCUUUUCUGUCUGGAACUGAAGAAAUUUCGACGGAAUUUGUGUCCAAUAAAAUCAAUUCAUAAGAUUUGAUAGUCUUCGAUACACCAUUGGCAUCCUUCUGGAAAUAUUCUAUUAGUAAGGGCUAAUAAGAACUAUAGGGUGGAGGUUCUUUGAAUUUGGUGAGAGUAAUCUGUUGAGUAAUUGGUUUAGUGAAGUAAGAGUUUGAAUUUUCUGGGAUUUUUUCUUCGGUGUUUUUCUUAGAGGAUGGUGGUGGAGUUUGAGUGGUUUGAGCAUAUGAUAAUGGAUGAAAAUAUGAAAGAACUUGAAAUGUAUUUGAAGUAGAGAUCUAAGUAGUUUUCAUCUCAUAAUCUUUGACUAACAAAACUUUUGAAAAGUUUCCUUUGCUCAUUUUUCUACAGGAUGUCAACAAAUAAUGUUAUGCAUCUCUCGUAAUUCUUGUUUUAUCCAUUUCUUGUAACGGGAAGCCUUUUUUCUGCGUUGAGUAAGGAAAUGAUGCAUUAUCUGAAACCUUUGAAUAUUCCUUCUUUUCAAAAAACAUUUGUCUCGAAUAGUAGUAAUUGCUCUGGAGGAUUUAAGAGAUAUCUAGUCAUAUUUGAAAAUGUGUUAUGGUUGGAUUCUCUGACUCUCUCCAUUUGGCUUUAUAAUAUAAUGGAUCGUUUUCCGAUUUUGAUAAAGGAUUUCUUUUUGCGCAUUGGCUCAGGAAUAAUAUUGUCUUCUAAUAUGCUUUAUAGAAUCAUUUUGUUUAUCCAUGACUCUGUAGAAAUUCUCUAGUUAAAAAAUUAGGUAAAGAAUUAUCUUCCCCUUUUAUGAAUUCUGUUUCGAAAUAAAAAACUGAUUAUAUACCUUGCCACUGAGUAAAUAUUUGUUUUGAAACUAUAUUUUCAACAUCUUUUUGUAAACUUCUUUUGCUGAUUUACAAUCAAUUCUCAGAAGGAACUUUUUAUUAUAUAAAUCAUCUUGAAAUUUUGAAAUGCAAAGAAACUAUAGACAAAAUUUCCUUUUUAAUAGUGGAGUAAUUCUUUUGAGGAUCAUACUAUGCUUCUGAAUGAUAUCUAACUAGUUGCUCUGAUUGAUUUUCUAAUUUUUACUUUAGUAUUCCUCCAUAUCCUAAGUUAGAUGCGCCUGUUGCUACUAUCAUAAAUGUAUGAGGGUAAGGAAUACCUAGGCAUGAUAAUGACUUAAGUUUUUCUUUAAAAUAAUUAAUCAUUUUAGUAUGUUCAUCCGUCCAUGCUAUGGAUUCGUUUUGAGUCUCAUAAAUAAUAUUGAAGAGUUUUUUCUUAAAAUUGUAAAGAAAUAUGCUAUAUAAUCAAACAUUCUAGAAAUCUUUGUAAUUGAUAAUUUCUUGUUCAUCUCUUUGUAAUUGAUAAUCUUUGUAAUUGAUAAUUUCUCGAGUUUUCUGGACUUGACAGCAGGUCCUGAUCAUGCUACACCAAUUUAAUUCAUAACAUGCUGGAAAAUUGCCCAUUCAACUACUUUUCGCUCCACUUAUCUACAAUUAACAUCAAUUAUCAAAUAUAAGUAAAAUCUACCUAAUAAUGCAAUAUUUGGCAAAUAUCAAAGGAAAAUAUUCACAAAUUUAAUAACAAUUAUGCAUCCUAUCAUCCACUUUUUUGCUUGAUCGAGUUUCUAUAAUGUACUCUUGCUUCAAGAACAGUAUCUUUUGGCCUGCAUAAAACUACCCAUUUGGCAAAUGAAUUUUUUGGAUAUUUGUCUAAAAUUUUACUGUAAUUUACUAUAGAAGCUAUAGGAAAAAUUUUUCAAAUGGAAAGCUUUUUUUUUUUUUCUUUUUUCUUUCUUUUUUUUUUCUUUUCUCUCUUCUUCUUCUCCCUUCCCCUCCCUCCCAGCUGGAACAAGCAGUAGCAGAAACCCUUUUUUUUUUUUGUAUUUUUUCUCUCCUCUCUCCUCCCCUUCCCUCCCCUCCCCCUCUACCUAAUCCGGUCAUGCGACCAGGUCGGCCAGAGAGGGAGAGGGAAAGGGACGAUGGCGGGGAAGGGCGAGGGGGAAAGAGAGGUUGUGAGGGAGAGGGGAAGAGAGGGAAGAAGGAGAGGGAGGGAGGAGGAGAAGGAGAGGGAGAAGAGAAAGGAACAAAAAAAAGGAGGUGGGCGGCAUGGGAACUGGUGCUGUUAGAGGUAGCCGGUGGUAGAGGUGGUGGUGGGUUGAGGUGGAAGAAGAAAGGAUAAAGGGAAAUUGUUUUGCGUGUUUUGGGUAUUUUAAAGUGUAUAAUUUAUAAAUUUUGAAAAGUUUUUUAUUUUACUAUAGUUAAAAUUAUUAAAAAAAAUUUGUAGAAGACAAACUUGGUCAAAAACUCUUUUGCCAAACAAACCCUAUACCCGAUCCAGACUUGACCCCUUAUAGCCUUGACAUCCCGAUCUAGACUUGAACCCCUAUGGCCCUCAAAUCCAUGCUUGGUAGGAAUUUUUUAUUUGAUAUUUUAUUAAGUUGUGUAUACUUGUAUUAAUGCCAAAAGUUUCGGUAGGUAUUGAUCCUAUUUUUAAAAAAUAAAUUAUUAACUUUCAUUAAAUUUUUUACCUUUUGGAUUUUUUUAUUUUCUAAAAAAUAAUAUUAUUAAUUUUUGAGUUUGAACAAUAUAUCUUUUUCUAUCUCUUAAAAAAUAAUAUAUUGUUAUUUUCUGAAAAAUAAUUAUAUAAUUAUUAAACAAAUAUGUGAUACGUUAAAUGUGAAAAUAUCUUUUUUUUUAAACUUACUUUAUUAAUUCAAUACGAAACAACCGAUUACAAGAUUUGCCAAAAAAACUCCCGACAAACGGUGACAAAUAAUUCUUUAUGUAAUUAAUUGAACUCCAUAACAUAAUAUUACAUAAUUUAAAUCAAAUAAAAUACAAAUAAUAACAUAAUGAAUACUAAUUUUCAUUGUUAUUGCCUUUGAACCGUUCACAAAAUAUUGAAAUUUUAGAAAAUUGUACAAAGAGAUUGAAGAAAAUGAGUGAGAGAGAGAGAGAGAGAGGGAGAAAUAAUAGAGUAAGAUAGUGAGAUAUAUAAAAAAAAAAAGGUGUCUUAUGUGUUUAUAUAGAGAGAACCAAAAAAUGACCGUUGAAAAAAAAAAAUUGAACGUUGACUUUCAUCAUGAAUUUUAGCCAUUGUCCACGUUUAACCAAAUUUAUCUGUUGUUAAAAAAGAAUCCACUAUCUCCUUUUUUCAAUAGCAUUUAUACGUAUCAUUCUUAUGAUGCGUGUAAUGAAUAUUACACGGCCAUGCCACUGGAGUUGCUUUAAUGAGUUUGGUAUAAUAGUGAUUAACUAAUUUUUAGUAGGGAAUCAAUGUUUACUCACCCAUAUUACUCAUAUUUUUUUAAUUAAAAAUAAAGCAAGUUACAAAAUACUAGAAGAAAUUAAUAAAUUAAAGAAAAUUUAGAAGAAAAAGAAGUAGAAAAAAAAUGUAAAAACUAAUGCCUAAAAUUUCGUUACCAAACACUCAUGGUUUUCAACAAAAACCCAUUAUCAUUAAACAGUUAAUGAUAGCGAUAGUCAUUGAUGAACUUCUACAAACGACUCCUCAGAUCUCAUCCAAAAACACAAAAAAGGUUAAAAAAACUAGAAAUGUUAAUAACGGGAAAAAACUUGAAGAGUUUUGGAGAAUAUGAAAACUAACUAUUGGCAACAAACCGUAGAAGAUCAGACAGAAGUAAUUGAAAAAGCUAAGAAGACGGCAGCUUAAACAUAUUAUUUAAAUCUUUUUCGUCAAGAACUCCUGCAUGUGGAACAAAAUCAGCAUUCAGCACCAACCAGAAGAUGCCUUUACCCACAACAAUUAUCAUAUUACAGACCACGCGCUGUAAGGUUGUAUAAAGAGCAUGUUUCAAUGCAGCGGACCAUUUAAAAGAUGGCAGAAAUUCAUCUAUCCUGUACUAGUGGUAAAAACAUCUCUAAAAUCAACUUUUAGAAUGGUGCACAAGACCAAGACGCUAGGGAUUUAUGGAAUAAACAACAAGAUCACACAAUGCCAUAUGCAGCAUGUAGUAAUCUAAGGCUAACCGUUGUUGCACAACAGAUUCUGGAAGUGUUUCAUACCAAGCAUUUUUAACGUAAAAAUAUAUACAAAGCUCUGUAAUACAAUUUGUUUACGUCGAUCCUAAUCUUACUGAAGAAGCAAAUAGGAAAUCUACUUGCCACGAGCGUACAUUCAGAGCUAAUCAAAUGUCCUUGCAGACCAACUAAAUCCAUUAUCCUAACCUCAAAUAACAGGAAUCCUAUAAAUAAUCAAAUGUCCUUGCAGACCAACUAAAUCCAUUAUCCUAACCUCAAAUAA
rnacentral:lncRNA from 1 species